ACAGAGAGAGAGAGAGAGAGAGAGAGAGAGAGAGAGAGAGAGAGAGGUUUGCAUUGUGAUGAGUGUGAACCCAUGAGACGUUGCAUAGUAUUAUCUUCUGCUACUAUCCCUCCCCAUUGGUUCUGCAAACCCAACACCAACCAAGAUAAGCGUUAGGCUAGUCGGUCGCCUUACCGCUUCUGGUGACGGUAUACUGUUGAUGUAUGUAUAAAUAAUGAACGACUGAGUUUAGUAUUCAUCUAUCUCUUUUGAAAUACCAAACGUACAAUAUGUGACAUUUGUGUAACAAAAGCCGUCUCCUUAUUCUUAUACUUCCAACACCUAGAGUAGUACGUAGCAGUGGUAGUCUUAUCGCACUUACUGACCUUUUUGUUUCAAUUGAUUCUCUCGAUUGAUAAGUGGCCGGUGUUUGGUCCUAAAUAGAAAUUAGGUUAAAUUAUAAACAUAAUCUUUUUCACAAAUGUAUGUUUUACAAUAAGGUAGAAUAAUUAUGUUGACAAAAUUGAAGGUUUCAAUGUACGAUAGAUUAAUUGGAAUGUAGAUGAUUCUCAGUUGUUGAGGCAUUCACUUUAUUUGGUGCGGAUGUAUAAUUGAUGGACAGUCGUUCAUGCACGUGUGUUUGUAUGAAGAUAUGUAAAGCAACCCUCUAGAUAUGAAUAGACAUAAGGUCUUUGUAAGUUGGGCUACUACUAUAUAGCGAAUUAAUUUUAUGUUGAAACCUCAGCUUUAUUCAUGAUAUCAAAGUAGGGUGUUUCAUGUGUGAAGCCCAACGGCUACACGUGCUUCACAUCACUCAUUUUAUUUUGUCCAUGUGCUAAGCUUAAAAAUUCGUCACGUGAUGAGACGUGUUGGAGUAUUAAUCCUACAUCGAAAAGAAGGAAACUUGCAUUGACAAAUAAGAUACGCUAAUACCCAUAUUAUCAAUUAAUUUUAUAAAUUUUAUAGUAAAACCCAAACAUUUUUCAUAAUUUUCUUUGGAGUUAACUAAAGCCAGAAGUUUGUGGUGUUGUUAACUCACUACCUAGGAGUGGACAUUUUAACCGGUAAAUCGGGUCGAGAAAACCAAAAGAAUCGGGUUUGACAUUGUCACAUUCUUGUUGCAUUUUUUCCCAAAUACCGAAUGUAAUGUGCCAUUCUUGUUACGGACAAGGAUUGUCUGCCCUCCUAGUUGUGGUGCCCUUCUAUGCCCUCCUAUUUUGUGCGGUCACGGUUAAGCCACGUCAACAUUUUAUAUUAAUUUUUUAAUGAGAUAAUAAGACAAAAAACAAUAAAAAUAUAAAAUAUUAACGUGGCUUAACCGUGACCGCACAAAAUAGGAGGGCAUGGAAGGGCACCACAACUAGGAGGGCACCUUGUCCUUCUUGUUACAAAAGCCUCUUUAUUCUUAUCCAAUAGAAGUAGUACGUAGUCUUAUCUCACCUAAUGGUCUUUUCUGUCAAUUGAUUCUCUCAGUUUAUAUAUAAGCUUUGUUUGUUUCAAAAUACAAAUUAGCUAAAUCAUAAACGUAAUGUGUUUCUGUUUGGAUCUUACUGUACACCAUUGAUCUGUUUAAUUGAGGCUGUUGAAUUUUAAUAUUUUUCUUAAAUAUUACUAUUGCUGAUUCGAAUUCAAUAGAGAAAACCAGGCAUUAUCCAUUGCUGGUUGUUUGUUGGAGAUCCAUUUGUUGAUAAAGACUUACUCAAGUGAUGGCAAGGAUUUUCCAACUUGGCUUGAGUAAAGAAAAGAUAAAAGAAGGUACCAUCCAUUUGUGAUAUUAUCCCUUUGGCCAAUUUGAUAAUUUAUUCUUUUUGGCCAAUUUGAUAGUAUUUCCUAAUAGAAUGCUCAGUGUUCAUUAAGAUAAAGAUGGCCAUCAAAAGGCCUUUGGUAGCCACGGUAUGGACUUUACAACACGUUCAAGCGUAUUAGUCCUAUAAAUACAUAAAACCGUGUAAUGAGAAGGCAACCUUCAACUUAACAUACAAAUAUGCCUUGCACAAAUCUCGCUCUAGGCGAACACUUCUCACACUCAGAGAACUAACUAACUCACAUUUUGAGAAAUCACUAACUCUCCACUUUCCUAACUACUUAAAGCUCGAUUGAUUAUCUAUCCAAGUCUCAGCUGACGAGGAGUCCUUGAUUCUUUAAUUGAACGAGGUCACUUUACUAGCUUUCCAACCAAAUUAAGUGUUUUAUGCUUGGUUACUUCUGGUACAUUUUAGAGUUCGGUAUUCUGACGGUUGAACAACAUUUACCAUCAAGACAUUUAUCUCUUUCGAGUACGAGUAUCCUUACAGUUUAACUCCGAACUGAUCAGAGCACUUAUAUUUUCACAAAUAUAGUCGAGGCGGCCGAACCUGGUGCAAAAGAUCAUGAACUUCACAGUGACUAACAACCUUUUUGACAUCACCACCACAUUCAUUCUACUAACCGACCGAGUUCGAUGGCAAGUUAGCACGACCGCAUUCAUCAUAAUGACGUAGUUAGCUUUUUGUUAUUCAGUCUACGUGUAAGUAAACUUGAUAGUUUUUAAGGUCAACAAUUUCACAAAUUGUGCUUUACAUUCUAACAAGUUUUACGAUCUCAACUUAUACUAGACGAAGGCGGACGAUCGAUUGUUAGUUGUUGCUGCGAGUUUCAUUGUGAUUGCGGAUGUAUAAUUGACAUACAAUCGUAACGUGUGUUUGUGGGCAAAGCAACUCUCUAGACAUCAAAAGAUAAGGUCUUUAGUUUUAUUCAGAAUUUGAGGUGUCUAUAUAAGUCACAAAAACCAAGAAACCUCUCGAACUCGUACCUUGGAUGCAGUGGAUGGGUUCCUAUCACAUGGUUGUCGCCAAAGGCAACAGAAGAGUACUCGCUAUAAUACUAAAUUAACAUGGUCCACUAGACGGUGGCUUUCCACCCUUUUUGUCGAUCGUGAGAGUAUGAUUUGGCCAAAUGCACUGUUAUUCUCCCAAAGUCGAGGUCAAUUUAGUAAACUAAUAUAUAGAAGUUUUUAAAAGUCACUAGUCUAGUAGCGGGUAGAGGCCUGUCGCUUAGGGGGGCCUAGGUAAUUUUUUAUUUUUAAUUAAUUUUUUAUAUAAUAUAUAGAUAAAUAUCUACUUAUAUUUUUUUUAAAAUAUAACUGUAUUGAGAUACAUUAAUUAGAAAAUGGAACUAUAUAUAAAUUAUAAAGUAUUAGAAUUGAAAACAUGGGGAAUAAACAUAUAAUGAGUGUUCAUCUCAAUAUUUAACAAGUUUUUUACAAUUUAUUGAAAAAAUAAAAUGUAAAAUGAAAGUUAUCUAUUUUCUAUCUAAAUGAGAGUUACGAUCUAGACGAGCGCCUACGCAGAUCUAGACGCUCUUUCUUAGUUUUCAAACGUCUAGUGAUCAAUCAAAGCGAUGACUACCUGCUUAGCGCCUAGGCAGGCUUAAGCGAAGCUAGGCGGUAAUUUUUAAAAGAAUGUGAUAUAUAGUUAGUAAUGAUAGCUACAAGGAAGAAAGAAACAACCCCACUGUACGAAACCAAAAACACUAAGCUACGAUGUGUUCUUAUCAUCUUAAGUUGUCCUACGAAUAAGUUAUGAAACCUAAUAUUAUGUUGUUGACCUAACCAAGUAGCUAGUAGCUAGUAUCGUUCACAUCAUCACUCCUAAAGUAACUUGAGGUAAAUUAGUUGCAAGAUAGCUAGAAUACAGAUCCGUCAAGGGACAUUUUUGUAAGACACAUUUUUAUUGAAAGCGCUACAAAUUUUUAUCGAAAAUUCAAGUACAUCUUGUUGGAGCAUAACGUGGUAUUGUUUGCAUACAUCAUGUAAAACUUUUACAUGUUAGGAUUUAACAAAGCAAGUAUUUUACGUUUUCAUCUCUCACACUUCAUUGUGAUCGAAACUCAAAAGAAAGAUGAUAAUAAGGUCAACUAGUACCCUAAUGAAUAUGAUUUUUAAUUUUCCGUGUAUUGCAUUACGGUUAAAAUGCAAGAUUUUUCCAAUAUUAAACUAUCAUAAGUAGUGUGUGAUGUCAGAGAUAUUACGAGACGAAGAACUUGCUGGUUCUAGUAUGAAAAUUGUUUUUGAAAUUUUGAUUUAAAAUGAUUCAGUCUUCAUAGGUGUCGGCGGGUUGGAUUGGUUUUUAGCUUAAAAGACCAUUUCUGUCCAUUAAUGUUGGUAGUCAGUUGAAUCAAUUAUUUUUUCUACGUGUUUAAUCUUAAACAAAAUUAAAAAAACGGUUUGUUUGGGGAAGGCUGUUAUUUAUUUUUAUUAAUUUUGAAAAAGUCGCGGUAAAAUCCCGGACAACUGUCAGCAGCUGGAGUCACUGUCAGUCGCGCUUGCACGCCGCCGUAGCUUAUUAAACUCCGGUCACUCACUUCCGCUCGUCUUCCGCCGGAAACGCCCUUUUUUUUUUGCUCGAUCAAUAAAAAUUAAAGUUAAAAAAAAAAGAAAAGAAGAAGAACGUUUCUGAAUUACCAAUCAGCUCUUCAACUUCCAUUGGCCACAGCAGUACAGAGCACUGUGUCUCUCUACUUUCUCUCUCUACACACUCUCUCGUAUACUUUCUCUCUCUAUACAGAGAGAAACACAGCACGAGAGCUCUCUGUUGGUAUUUUUUACGGACGUACACGCGGUUGUGUAGGCGUAGAUUCCUUUGCCCCCACUGCGUCAUAUAAUUUUAUCAAUAAAUAAAUGCCAAAAAGCUCUCUCUCUCCCCGCUGAAACCGCAUUUAUACACAGAGAGAGGGCCUAUUCCUAACGUUUUCCUCAUUUUUAUGUGCUGCUUUGGUUUGCCUAUAUUCACUCCUCCUCCGGGGAUCUCAGCCGUCCUCCGCCGCUCUUGCGAGAAUUCACCGGCUCAGCUGUCACCGGCAAGUUUCUCUCUUUGCUUUGGUAUUUAUUUCUGCUGAAAUUUUAAGCUGUUUUUUGUUUGUAAAGUUGGAAACUUUGCUGUGAUGGAAUUGAUGGGUUUUGAGUAUGUUGAUUUUGUGCGGAUUUUGAGGGCAUAAGUGGGUAAUUUGUGGAUUUUGGGCAGAUGGGCAGAUGGGCAGCUGUUGUUUUAGCCCAGUGCAUACGUGGUCUACAGUGUACUGCUUUUGGAUUUCUGGGGAACCUAUAGAGAAUAAUUGCCAGAAAGAUAUGGUCUUGUAGUGUAAACUUAUUGAUUUCUGGGUGAAAUCGAAGGUUUCAUAUCUGGGUUUGUUUUAAUUCGUUGAAUUGGGGAUUUAUAUCUCGUGGAAUUGGACUAUUGGCGUUAUAAAAUUCUGGAGUUUUUGUGGAAUUUGGAUUUAUGGAGGCUUUUGGAGGCAGAGCUCGGAAUUUCUAUGGUACGAUGGUGCCGGAUUUGAAGGGGGCUGGGAAAAAGAGUUUGGAAUGGGAUUUGAAUGAUUGGAAAUGGGAUGGUGAUCUUUUUACCGCUAGUCCUUUGAAUGCUGUACCAUCUGAUUGUAGGAGCAGGCAGUUGUUUCCGCUUGGGCUGCCGGAAACUCCCUCCACUGCUGGUUUGUCCAACAGUUCUUCUUCUGGUUCGGACGGUAUCUGUCCAGGGAAUGAGAAAGGUAAAAGAGAGCUGGAGAAAAGAAGAAGGGCUAGUUUUGUAGAAAAUGAAGGGCUAACUGAUGAAGUUGGGUCUCUUAAUCUCAAGCUUGGCGGGCAAGCUUACCCAAUCAUGGAAGGAGAGGUACAACAUGGGAAGAAGACGAAGAUAGUUGGGACUACUUUAAACCGAGCAGUUUGUCAGGUGGAGGACUGUAAGGCUGAUCUUAGCAAUGCCAAGGAUUACCACCGACGACAUAAGGUCUGUGAUAUGCAUUCUAAGGCAACUAAAGCGGUGGUGGGAAAUGUUUUGCAGCGGUUCUGUCAGCAGUGUAGCAGGUUAGUUCAAUUCUAUGGUUGUCCUUGUAUGGUGAGAAAUAUUUCAAAUUUUCUUCAGUUAAGUUCUACGUCGUUUAUUCGGUGCUUUCUUAUAGACAUUGUUUCUAGAAGAUGAAAUACAGAGUUUGAUUUGUAAGUUUUAAAAAAAUUAUUUGUUGCUCUCAUGAUUUGGGUCCAUAGUUGUUCAUCACUGUGUUUGGUAUAGUCGAAUUUUGAAGAACUUUUUUGUUGAAUUUGGAAUGUGGUUAUACUUAUGGGCAGGUUUCAUGGCCUUCAAGAGUUUGAUGAAGGAAAGAGAAGUUGUCGUAGACGUUUGGCAGGCCACAAUAGGAGGAGAAGAAAAACACAUCCUGAUACUGUAGUUAAUGGAGGCUCAUUGAAUGAUGAAAGAGGAAGCAGUUAUCUAUUGAUUAGUUUGCUGAGAAUACUCUCCAACAUGCACUGUAAAUCUUUGUGUUAUUGCACAUUCAAUUUUUGGCUGCUUUGCCUGACAUUAAAUUGAUAUGCUAAGUGUAUGUUAAGUGGUUACCGGAUUGUGUGUUGAUUGCCAUAGACUGAUGUCAAAGUUCUUGUGGUCUUUUGCUCUUAGGUUUUGUCAUUAUUUGAUUGAGGCUUGUAGCAAAAUGAUUAUGUCAAUUAACAUUUAAUAACUCCACUCAUAAAUUUUUAUUUGUAAACAUACAACAUAUUACUUGAUGAGUCCUUAACUGCUUAAGGUGCUCUAUUUUUGUGUAUAAAUGACAAAGUGCUAGUUUCUCUGAAUUUAAUUUGAUGAAAAUUUGAAUAUUGAUGCUUACGCAUGAAAAGUUUUCAGUUUUUCAGAGGUUGAUUUGAUAGAAAGUUAGAAUUUUGUGCAGACCUUCAUGUCGAAAAAUAUUUCAAUUUUUAUAAUCCAGAUUACACCUUGUGUGCUUGAAUUUCAUCCCUUGAACCCUUGUUUUUUGCACUUUCUUUCUCUGAUUGUUGGACUGUCCAUAUUUCACAUUCUAGGAUGCAUGAAGGAAGGGCCUAUUAAAGGGAAUUCUAAUUAGGAAUUGUUAUUUAGGAAAUUAUGUCUCAGUGAUCAUGUUAUUAUAAUAUUUAUUUGAUUAUGUUUGUGUUUGUUUUUCUUCUCAUAAGUGUCUUACUCAACUCCACUUUUGAUGCCUAAAAUGCAGCUAAUAGUUCAGAUCAAACAAAGGAUCAGGAUUUGCUAUCUCAUCUUUUGAAGAAUCUAGCCAAUCUUUCUGGUACAGUUGAUGGAAGAAACAUGUCUGCAUUGCUUACGGCAUCUCAAGGUUUAAUAAAUGGCGGGGCAUCAAUUCAGACUGCACAAAAGGUCCCAGAUACAGUUUCCAACGGCUGUGAACCAAGUAAGCCUUCUGUUUCAGCCUCUAAAAUGGAUGAUUAUAUUAAUGGUGAGGACCCUUCAAGACCUAUACGACAGUGUUCUACGGUACCUGCAUCAGAUUUCAGGAGAAUAUCUUCAGUUGAUGCAGAUCAUGGAGGUCUACAAGUUGUUUCAGGUCUAAAUGCCACGAAGCCAUUUCCUUCAAGAGACAGUGUUCCAUCCACAUCAGUUGCACCAGAAGCUACAAUGGGGAGGAUGCAGUUAAAUGGCAUUGAUUUAAAUAAUACAUAUGACGAUUCCCAGGACUAUUUGGACAACCUAGGGAAUUCGCAUGCCCCUGUAAAUUCAGGGACAGUGGCUCAUGGUUUUCCCUUUUGGAUGCGUCAGGAUUCGCAAAAGUCUAGCCCACCUCAGACAAGUGGGACUUCAUGCUCAACUUCAUCAAGUUCUAGUGGAGAUGCUCAGGUAUAUUCUUGUUGUACUUGCAUCUCGUUCCUCGUUAUUGCUUGGUAUAUUAAUGCUUGUAUAUGCCAUAACCUGUCCUUUUCUGUUGGAUAAAAGAAUAGCUUUGUUCUCACUUUAAUUUGGCAUUUAGGUGACAAUGCUUUGCAUUCGACUUGUCCGUUUGUCUAGCCAAUUGAUUGAAAAAACAUGAAGUACUCGGCAUACCUAAUAAAUACUUCUGUUGUGACGUAAGAGUCAAGAUGGAUUCUCUUCUUUUGUAUAGUGCUUUGUAUGUAUAAAUGUGUGCGUAUGCUUCUGCUUGAUAAGGUUUAUAGAGUUGUAGUUAAACUACAGGAGGUUGCAGGCUAUAUCAGUUAGAGUUGAGUAUUUUUUAAAUAUUUUUUAUUAUGAAGGCCAGUGUGUAAAAUGUUACUGCACUGUUACGUCUCUUAACCACUCUUUUUCUGCCGUGUUUCAGAGUCGCACAGACCGUAUUGUUUUUAAACUCUUUGGAAAAGAUCCAAAUGAUCUUCCAUUUGUUCUACGAGCACAGGUAAUAUUUGGUGCCUUGAUUUAAUUCUUCACAAUGUAACUUGUGUUUCCUUGCACAUACAACAAUUUUAUGAAAUAUUUUGAAUAUCCAGAUUCUCAACUGGUUGUCCCACAGUCCUACUGACAUUGAAAGCUACAUAAGGCCGGGAUGUAUCAUUUUGACAGUUUACCUCCGUCUAGAAAAAUCCACGUGGGAGGAGGUAUGUUUCUGUGCUGAUGCCAAAAUGUUGAUUGCUGACCUUGUAUCAGGGAGAUCUCUUUUCUUGUCCUUAAUUGUUAUGUUUGCCUGCAGCUCUGCUGUAAUCUGGGAUCCAUUAUAAAACAACUUUUACAUGCUGCCAAUGAUCCUUUUUGGACAACAGGAUGGGUGUAUACUAGGGUGCAACAUUCUGUAGCAUUUACGUACAAUGGUUUGUUCUCUCUCUCUCUCUCUCUCUCUCUCUCUCUCUCUCUCUCUCUCUCUCUCUCUCUCUCUUAAUUAUUCAUUCAUAUAUUUUCUAGCUCAUUUAGUGAUUUACCAAUAGUUGUGUUAUGAAAGAAAAGACAUUUUAAAUAGUUAUGUCUGUACUGCAGGUCAAGUUGUCUUAGACACACCCUUACCUCUGAAAAGCCAUAAAAAUUGCAAGAUAUCAUGCAUCAAACCAAUUGCAGUUUCUUUAUCCGAAAGAGCUGAAUUUGUAGUAAAGGGGUUUAAUCUUUCUCGUGCCACCACAAGGUAUCCUUAUCUUUCAUUCAAGCUUCAUUAUGUAGACCACUCCAGUGUCAUAUGUUAUUUCUGAAUUAGUAACUAUCAGGAUAACUGGGAAGGAGGAAAGUACUAAGUCCUAGCUUGUGACAGGUUGCUCUGUGCUCUGGAAGGGAAGUAUCUAGUCCAAGAAACUUGUUAUGACUUGAUGGAUGGUGCUGAUACAACCUUUGCGAAUGAUCAGCUACAGUGCCUCAGAUUCUCCUGCUCUAUACCCAAUGUUACUGGCCGAGGACUCAUUGAGGUGCUGUUCCAUUCUUAAUAUAUGUUUUAUAUUUCCUUUGAAGUGUGCUUAUCAUUACUUAUUUAUUUAUUUUUAUUUCAGGUUGAAGACCAUGGUCUCAGCGGCUGCUUCUUUCCAUUUAUAGUUGCCGAGCAGGAAGUAUGUUCAGAGAUUUGUACCCUGGAGGGUGCGAUUGAGGUGGCUGAGACUGCAGAUAACAUCCAGACAGAACCUGAAAAGUUGGAAGCCAAGAACCAAGCGUUGGACUUUGUACAUGAAUUGGGUUGGCUCCUUCACAGAUGUCACACUAAAUUUAGACUUGGUCACGGGGAUCCCAACUUAGAACUAUUUUCUUUUAGACGGUUCAGGUUGCUUAUGGAGUUUUCCAUGGACCGUGAUUGGUGUGCUGUAGUGAAGAAACUCCUGGGCAUUCUGCUUGAGGGUACCGUUGACACUGGAGAACAUCCUUCUAUUGAGCUUGCGUUAUUGGAUAUGAGCCUCCUCCACGGAGCCGUGCAAAGAAAGUGCAGGCCUAUGGUGGAACUCUUGUUAAGAUUUGUCCUAGACAAAGGGUGGCAACAAGUUGACGGGGACGGCAGCAACUUCUUAUUUAAACCCGAUGCAGUUGGGCCCAUGGGAUUGACUCCUCUUCAUGUUGCAGCCAGUACUGAUGGAUGUGAGAAUAUAUUGGAUGCCUUAACUGAUGAUCCUGGAAAGGUAAUUUCUCAUUGUCUUCUUUGACAGUUUUCUUUCUAAUUGGAUGUAAAAAUCAGAACAGGUCUGCAUCAUUAUCCAUUUUUCUCCGUACGUGUUUGACCGUUUGCUCAUACAAAUGACUCAUGUCAGCUCAUUCUGUGUCUCACAUGAAUGUUGAUAUUUCAAAUCGUUGUAUUUUCAAGCAUACAAAUGUUGAUAUCUUUGCUUCUUUAGGUGGGAAUUGAAGCGUGGAAAAAUGCUCGAGACAGUACAGGAUUGACACCAAAUGAUUAUGCAUGCCUGCGAGGCCGCUACACCUAUGUCCAAAUUGUCCAGCGGAAAAUCAACAAGAAACAUGAAAGCGGGCACGUGGUGCUUGAUAUCCCUGGCGUUAUCUUAGACAGCAGCAGCAAGCAGAAACAAUUAGAUGGGCAUAAGUCCUCAAAAGUCUCCAUCUUGGAGACCGAAAGGAUCGAUAUGAAAGCAAUGCAGGCACAUUGCAAGCAAUGUGAAAUGAAACUAGCAUAUGGAAACACAAGGUCGUUUGUGUACAGGCCGGCAAUGCUGUCAAUGGUAGCCAUUGCUGCUGUCUGUGUUUGCGUGGCCUUGCUCUUCAAAAGCUCGCCUGAAGUCCUUUAUGUCUUCCAGCCCUUCAGGUGGGAACUCUUGGAGUAUGGACCGAGCUAAGGCAGUUUACGCGUCUCAAAUUUUAGUUACUCUGGCUUUAGGCCGUUUGUGUUAAUCAUAUGUAUAAACGGAUAACUCAAAUUUUAGUUACUCUGGCUUUAGGCUGUUUCUGUUGAUCAUAUGUAUAAACCGAUAACUCUAUAGGGAACAUAAUGUACCAGUUUUCGUAUCCGUUAAGAUUUCCACGAGAGGUGUUGCACUGUAUGUAUUAAUGAUAGUUCAUAUAAAGCGUGUAUAGGGAAAGAUUGACGUAAAUAGUACUAUUGACCAAUUGUUGAGGCAAUAGAUUGCUGCAUUACUUCCAAAAACACAUACAAACAUUGUAUUCGAUGAGGCGGAAGAUUCGGACUUGAAAAUUCUUUCGCUUUUAAGUCAGCUUUCUUAAACAGAAGACAAUAUUUAGUAGGGCGGCCUGACUAAUAAUUUCUUUCGCUUUUAAGUCAGCUUUCUUAAACAGAAGACAAUAUUUAGUAGGGCAGCCUGACUAAUAAGUAGGUUAGACUACUCUUGCUAAAUUUUAUGCAUUGAGAGUUGUAUUUACGUAAGACUGGAUGGUGACCAAAUACAUAGAAUCACGUUCCUUCAUGAGGGGAUAAGGCUGUCUCACAAAGGUUGGAGCUUUGUGCUUACUUAGAUACAUGAAUCUCGUUCUUUCGUGAGUCAACUUUUCAGGUUAUUCAACUCAAAUGUUAUGAAUAAAAUUGGGCCAAAAUUAGAUCAAACAGUUGUUUUUCUCCAAAUAUUUUUAAUUUGGUCAAAUGCAUGAAUCUCGUUCUUUAGUGAGAUAACUUUUCAUGUUAUUCAACUCAAACGUUAUGAAUAAAAUUGGACCAAAAUUAGAUCAAACAGUUGUUUUUCUCUAAAUAUUUUUAAUUUGGUCAAAUCCAAUCCGAGUCUAAUAUUAACUAGCAAAAAAAAAAGCAGAAAAAUGGAUUUUACAGGCUAAUAAAAUAAUAGGAAAAGGACUCCAGUCACAGAGACACGUUGACUCAUAUUUUGACAUGAAAUUGUUUUCCACUUCAACAAGUCAUAUUCAUGGUCCUUACAUAGUGUACACAAUUAUUACCUUGUUUAAUCUUUUUCAAUUAUUUUGUCGUUUUGAACCUUUUUUCUUUGGUUUAAUUGCCAAUAAUUCAAGCAUUAAAUCUUGAUCUCGAAAUGGAACAAUUUUCCGGUGUACUAAGAUCACGUUCACGUAAAAUUACUGGUUCAUUUAAAUUAUAUUACGUAGAUUUGUUAAUAUUAAGUUUAGGUUAAAUCUCACAAUAAUUAGUAAUAAUAUGACGAGAAUUAAACUUGAAAUAUAUCACUUAUAAUAAAAUAAAAUAUCAUUAGUUUAAAUAUUAAAAUGAUACACCUCGUAACUUGUAACGCUGUUAAUUUCUAAUCGAAAUCAAAAGGAGACGCGUCAUUUGAGGCCACCACCUCUCUCCUCUCACUCUCCCCACUGAAACCGAAUUUACACAGUAAGAGAACCCUUUUCCUAACCUUUUCCUAAUUUUCAUGUGCUGAUUAGCUUUGUCUCGGGGCCUAUAUUCUCUCUGCCUCAACUGCGAUCUCAGCCACUUCUUCGUCAGCUCUCAGUUCUCAGCUCAUCUCCCAACAAUUCACCAACCUGCCGGCAAGUUUCUCUCUCUUUACUCUCUCGCUCUCCUCUUUAUUUCCACAAAAAAAGAUUGGGUCUUUCAGUUCUUUCAGCUCAAGUUUCUUUCCAUGGAGUUGAAAGCAUUGACUAGGAUGUAAUUGUGGGCUUGCAAAUACGGUAUUUUGUACUGACUUGUUGAGAGAAAAACUGGGUAAUUGGUGGAUUUUGGGUUCUGGGCAGCUGUAGCCUGUAGUUUAGCUCCAUUUUUAUGCUGGUGUGCUGUUCUUGGUUUUCUGGGGUUCUUGGAAAGAACAAUUUCCAGAAAUUUCUGGGGCUGUGGUGUUAUUGACUUUUUGUUUUGGGGUGAAAUUUAUAGUUUUAUCUCUGAGCUGUAGUUGUUGUUAUUGUUCAAUUGGGUGUUUGUAUCUGGUGGAGUUUGACUAGGGGGCAUUGUAACAUCUCUGGGUUUUUUGUAUCUUGAUCUAUGGAGUCUGAAUUCGGAGGAAAGGCUUGUAAUUUUCGUGGUGUGAUGGUGCCGAAUUUGAAGGGGGUUGGGAAAAAGAGUUUGGAAUGGGAUUUGAAUGAUUUUAAAUGGGAUGGUGAUCUUUUUACUGCUAGUCCAUUAAAUUCUACACCAUCUGAUGGUAGGAGUAGGCAGUUGUUUCCGGCCAGGCCAGAAACUCCGUCGGAUGCUGGUUUGUCCAACAGUUCUUCUUCUGGUUCGGAUAAUAUCAGUCCGGGGAAUGAGAAAGAUCAAAGAGAAUUGGAGAAACGGAGAAGGGAUUUUUUUGUGGAAAACCGAGAGUUGAAUGAUGAAGCUGCGUCUCUGAAUCUUAAACUUGGCGGGCAAACUUACCCCAUUAUGGAAGAAGAAGUACAAACCGGGAAGAAAACAAAGACAAUUGGGACUACUUCAAACCGUGCAGUUUGUCAGGUGGAGGACUGUAAGGCUGAUCUUAGCAAUGCCAAGGAUUAUCACCGGAGGCAUAAGGUCUGUGCUAUGCAUUCUAAGGCAACUAAAGCGCUGGUUGGAAGUGUUAUGCAGCGGUUCUGUCAACAGUGUAGCAGGUUGGUUCCAUCCUAUUGUUAUUUAUUGUUUGGUUGAAACAUUUCCCCGAUUUUCUUGAAUUAACUUGAAAUACAGAGUUUGGUUGUGUAAAUUUUGUUGUCAUGCGUUUGUUGUGCAUGGCUGUUCAUCAAUCUUCUUACGGUAUGGUUGAGUUCUGCAGAAGGUUUUUUUUGUUGAAUUAAAUGUAACAGGGUUAACACUCGUGGACAGGUUUCAUGCUCUUCAAGAGUUUGAUGAAGGGAAGAGAAGUUGCCGUAGGCGUUUGGCUGGCCAUAAUAGGAGGAGAAGAAAAACACAUCCUGAUACUGCAGUUAAUGGAGGCUCUUUAAACAAUGAAGGCGGAAGCGGUUAUCUAUUGAUUAGCUUGCUGAGAAUACUUUCAAAUAUGCACUGUAAGUACUUGCCUUAUUCAUUGUACACUUCUGUCUUAGUGAAACAUUGUAUCUCAGAUUUAUUUGAAUCCGCAUAUUAUGCCAUUUAUAAAUUGCAGCUAGUAGUUCUGAUCAAACAAAGGAUCAGGAUGUCAUAUCUCAUUUGUUGAGGAGCUUAGCCAAUGUUGCUGGUACGGCUGAUGGAAGAAACAUAUCUACAUUGCUGCAGGGAUCUCAAGGUUUAUUUAACAGUGGGACAUCUGUCCAGACUGCACGAAGGGUUCUAGAUAUGAAUGCUGGUGUUAAUACUGAGGACCCUUUAAGGUCUAAAGGACACUGUUCGAUACUACCUGCAUCAAGAGACAGUUCUGAAUCCAAAUCAGUUACACCGGAAGCUACAAGUAGAAGGUUCCAGUUAAAUGAUUGAUUUAAAUAGUACAUAUGAUGAUUCACAGGACUAUGUAGAGAACCUAGGGAAUUCUCAUGUUCCUGCAAGUCCAGGCACUGCAUCUCUUGGUUUUCCUUCAUGGAUGCAGCGUGAUUCUCAUAAAUCAAGCCCACCUCAGACAAGUGGGAAUUCAGACUUAACUUCUACUCAGUCACCGUCAAGUUCUAGUGGAGAAGCUCAGGUAUAUCCUUGUAAUUGCAUCUAUUCCAUAAUUGCUUGGUAAUAUAAUGCUUAAAAAUGCCUUUGUCGUGGAUGAUGCUCAGCCCACUGUAAUUCGUCUUUUUUUUAAUCUUUUUUUCCAUGAGACCAGGGAUUAAUAUAUCAAUUGUCAUUAAUCAUUAUACGGCGUAUAACUUGUCUUUUGUUUGGAUAGUAGAAUACCUUUGUUCUAUCCUUGAGAGUAGUUAGGCAGUCAUGUAUUGUGUUCUGAACGUGUCUGUGUAUCUUUCCAUGGAUUGUCAAAAUAAUGGCGAGGUUAAGUGCGCUCGCUGCUUGGUUAUGGGAUAUAUGUAAGAAAUGCUUCAAUUGUGACUUAAAGUUGAGAUCAGUUAUCUCUUCCUUCAAACCAAUAUGGCAGUUUACAAGCGCAACCACACACACAAACAUACUUGUUGUGUAUACGUCUUCUUGAUGCUGUUAAUAGAAUUGAGGUUAAAGUUACCUGGUGGUUUCUGCAGUCCUAAUGGAACAUGCAUUAUUUAUGUAAAAGGCCAGUAUGUAGAAUGUAUCUGCAAUUUUACGUUUCUUGACUGCUCUUUUUCUGCCACAUAUCAGAGUCACACAGACCGAAUUAUUUUUAAACUAUUUGGAAAAGACCCUAAUGAACUUCCACUUGCUCUGCGAUCACAGGUACUAUAUUUCCUUUGAUUUUUCUAGUUUUCAAAGUACUUUUCAAAGUAUUUUGGUGUUUCAUUCCACGGACUCCAUGAUUUUUAUAAAUUAUUUGAAUAUCCAGAUCCUCGACUGGUUAUCUCACAGCCCUACCAACAUUGAAAGCUACAUAAGGCCGGGCUGUAUCAUUUUGACAAUUUACCUUCGUCUAGAAAAAUCCACGUGGGAGGAGGUAUUCUCGACUGUGGAUGGCAGAUCCUUGUAUGAGGAAGACUUUUUCUUCAAGUCCUUAAUUUUGACAAUUCACCUCUCCCAGACCCUGAUUAAAGCGGGAGCCUUGUGCACUGGGUACGACCUUUUUUUUUAUAAUUAUUUUUGCUUACAGUUCUGUUGUCAUCUGGGAUCCAGUUUGAAAACACUUCUUGAUGCUGCGGAUGAUCCUUUUUGGAGAACAGGAUGGGUGUAUACAAGGGUGCAAGAUUAUGUAGCAUUUACAUACAAUGGUUUGCCUCUCUCUCUCUCUCUCUCUCUCUCUCUCUCUCUCUCCCCCUCUCAUUUCGUGUGUGCGUACACAUUUGUGUAUUUAGGGUCUAUAGAAGAAUCUUGCUGUUUUAGUUUUCCAUUAUGCUUUAUUGAUUUUGGUCAUGCUUUGUUUUGUUAUUUCUAGUACAUAAUGAGGAUUGACCAAAAACAUUAACCUUAUAUGAGAGAAGCAUUUUGAUUAGUUAUGUCCAUCCUGCAGGUGAAGUUGUGUUAGACACACCCUUGCCUCUUAAAAGCAAUAAAAGUUGCAGGAUAUCAUGCAUCAAACCAAUUGCGAUCUCCUUAUCUGAGAGAGCUGAAUUUAUAGUAAAAGGCUUUAACCUUUCUAGUUCCACCACAAGGUUCUUUCAUCUUUCAUUCAUGCGUCAUUACUUUGUUUUCAAUAUUCCUCUCUAGUUUUAUAGGAUAACAGAAGAAAUACUAAAUUCUAGAUCUUGAGUCUUGACAGGUUACUCUGUGCUCUAGAAGGGAAGUAUCUGGCUCAAGAAACUUGUUAUGACUUGUUGGAUGAUGCGGAUAGCACUGUUGAGGAUGACGAACAACAAUGCCUUAAAUUCUCCUGCUCUAUACCAAAUGUUACUGGGCGAGGAUUCAUUGAGGUGCUGUCAUAUUCCUAAUUGUCCCUUUCCCCCUUCCUCCUCUUGUAAUGUGCAUUUUGAACGAGCCGUAUUUUAUAAGUCCGGAAUUUGUUUAUAAAUCUUCUUAUGAAUACUGAGUAUAGAUUUGUUUCUAGACAGCGCCUUAACUGAAAUCCACGGUUCUCAUUUUAUUGGUCAAAUUUAUGUCAGGUUGAAGAUCAUGGUCUCAGCAGUAGCUUCUUUCCAUUUAUAGUUGCAGAGCAGGAAGUAUGCUCUGAGAUUUGUAUGCUGGAAGAUGUGAUUGAGGUGUCCGAGACUGAUGAUGAUAUCCAAUCUGGACCUGAAAAAGUGGAAGCUAAGAACCAAGCCUUGGACUUUAUACAUGAAUUGGGUUGGCUCCUACAUAGAAGUCGCGUUAAGUUUAGACUGGGUCAAUUGGAUCCCAAUCUAGAUACAUUUCCCUUUAGACGGUUCAGAUUGCUCAUGGAGUUCUCCAUUGACCAUGAUUGGUGUGCUGUGGUGAAGAAACUCUUGGGCAUUCUGUUUGAUGGUACUGUCGACGCUGCAGAGCAUCCUUCCCUUGAGUCUGCACUACUGGAUAUGGGCCUCCUCCACAGAGCUGUGCGAAUCAAUAGCAGACGUAUGGUGGAAUUCUUGUUAAGAUUUGUCCCAGGUUUAACAGGAUCUGAGCAGAAGGAACAAGUUGACAGGGACGGCAACAGUUUCUUGUUUAAACCUGAUGUUGUUGGGCCCAUGGGGUUGACUCCUCUUCAUAUUGCCGCCAGUACUGAUGGCUGUGAGCAAGUAUUGGAUGCCUUAACUGAUGAUCCUGGAAAGGUAAUAUCUCCGUUUUUUGAAUUGCAACAUAAUAUUUUUCUUCUAAUUCUAUGUAGAAAUCACUUUGCGCUGGCUACAACCUCCAUCCCAUCUCCAUACCCAUUUGAACUCUUGCGCCUACAGUUGACCUGUGUCUGUUCUCAUACUGUUUCACACACGUGUUUUGAUGAUUUUAACUCAUUCUAAUUUCCAGCAUGUCAGGUUGCUCACGGAUUUUAGAUCUGUAAUCAUGUCUUCUUUGACUUUGAGCUCUCUCUUUAGCUUUUCCACUGUCUUCUGCCUAAACAAAAUACACUGAUUCCAGUUAUUGAGUUGUAUUUCAAAUUCUCAAUUAACCAAUCCUAGACAAAUUAUGCAGUCUUGUAUUUUCUUUGGCUUGCGAAACAUAUGAAACAUAAAUCACCGUAGAAAAGUUAAAUGCGCCAUUCAAAUUGGUAAAGAAAGCAGCACCCCACAUCUAAAUGCAUGCUAACUCUUUCACAGCUGAAAGCGGCACCCAAAUUCUACAUUCAACUUGAAAUCAAAUAGGACUGCUGUUAAAAUUUUUGACGAUAAAUGAAUUAUGAUUCUUUUCAUCGUUCUAGUUUCAACUUUCAAGCAUGUGUUUAGGACUGCUGUCAUGAAAUUUCUUUAGUGUCAGAUAAUCCAUUCAUCAAGUUGAUAUGGGCGUUUUUUUCUUUAGGUGGGAAUUAAAGCAUGGAAAAACACUCGAGACAGCACAGGAUUGACACCAUAUGAUUAUGCAUGCCUUCGAAGCCGCUACUCCUAUGUCCAUAUAGUCCAGCGGAAAAUCAGCAAUACACUGGAAAGCGGGCAUGUGGUGCUUGACAUCCCUGGCCUCACGUUAGACAGAAAUGGAAAGCAGAAGCAAUCGGAUGCGCAUAAAUCAUCAAGAGUAGCCAGCUUGGAAACUGAAAGGAAUGAUAUAAAAGCAAUCUUACGACACUGCAGGUUAUGUGAACAGAAACCAGCUUAUAGCACCACACGGUCACUUGUAUACAGGCCGGCAAUGCUGUCAUUGGUGGCUGUCGCUGCUGUCUGCGUUUGCGUGGCCUUGCUCUUUAAAAGCAAUCCGGAAGUUGUUUUCGUGUUGGAGCCAUUCCGGUGGGAACACUUGAAGUUUGGUUCAAGCUAAGGUUAUAGUUUACGUGUAUUAAUUUAUAGUGACUCUGGUUAUACAUAGACCAUUUCUUUUCACGUGGAUAGGAGUAUAUUUUCUAUCUGAUUUUUAUAUGUAUAUCUAGGGCCACUCAAGCCAACAAGACUCUUCGCAUUGCAAUGGUCGGAACGUCUAUCGUAUCUGUAUUUGUAUACCUAAGCUUCCAAAAUAAACAUGGGCUGUCAUGGAUUUUGGUCCACCAGGUUUGAUUGUAUUUGUAUUUGUAUAACAGUGUUACAAACUGGAUGACACAUAAUUUCUCUGUUUGAUAUUUCUUUUUUUUUUUUCAAAAUAAACAUUUGGCACGAGGUGAUUCGGUGUUCGAUUAUUAGUGCAUUUACUGUAUAAAUUAAAUUUUAAUUUUAGAAAAUUCAGCAUUUUUGUUGGUUAUAUUGGAGGAAAUCGAACUUUGGUCUACUCUAAUUCUAACUUAUUACCAUACCCUCCUCCAUUAUUUGAGCUCAUAUAAGCAUAAGCACACUAAACAAGGUUAAGUAUAGAAGAAUUUGGGAAUUGAGAAUUAUUGUUUGAGCAUUAUUUCAUGUUUAGUGCAAAUUGAGGUUGAAUUAUUUUCUAAUUUUAUUAGUUUAAUCAUUUGGAUGAAUUUGUUCAUGCUUCCAUAUGAAAUCAUUAUUUUAUUAAAAUAAUUUAUUAAUAGUUCGAGAAAAACUUAAAUGGAGGUGCUCACGUCAUUCAUCACGCAUUCACAUUCACAUUCGUUACACGUUUCUCAUAAAAACAUAAAACUCUUUCAAAUGAAUAGGUUUCACUGAAUUUGGAUAAUAUCCGACUUUACAUAAGUACAAGUAUCAAUGCACAUGAUUCCAACCAGUAAUUAUUAUCUUAUUUGAAUUACUUACCCCGAAUCAGACCUGAAAAAGUGUAAUUUAUUCAAAUUUUAUUUUCUGAAAUUCAAAAAAAUAAAAUAAAAUUUGAGGAUAAGAAAAUAAAGGGUAAAGAGGUCAUUUGCAUGCCCUGCCUCCUAAAAUCCACCUCACUACUCACUACCCCGUCACUGCUCUAACAAUUUUGCAGGCCAAAGCCAUCCAUGGCUUCUUCAAUCUCUCUCUCCUUCUCUUCCUCUCUCCUCCCUCAUCCUCUUCCUUUCAACAAAUACUCCACCGCCACCGCCGCCGCCUCCCAGAAAUCCCAAUACCCCAACUUUAAGCUGCUCCUCCGCGCAUUCGCCAACCCAGCUGUAAGCCGUCGCUCCACUCCAUCUCCGUCUUCCGACACCAGAAAGAGGCACUGGAAGAAAGGUGAAUACCCAGGCGUCUCGGAGACGUCGGCUCCGGCGAAUUACAGAAAAACCCCUGGUCGUUCCACUUCAUCUGAGUCUUCCGACACCAGAAAGAAGCACUGGAAGCGAGGUGAGUUCCCGGGCGUCUCGGAGACGUCGACUCCGGCGAAUCACAGAAAAACCCCUGGUCGUUCCACUUCAUCUGAGUCUUCCGACACCAGAAAGAAGCACUGGAAGCGAGGUGAGUUCCCGGGCGUCUCGGAGACGUCGACUCCGGCGACUUACAGAAAAACCUCCGCUCGUUCCGCUUCAUAUCCGUCUUCCGACAACAGAAAGAAGCACUGGAAGCAAGGGGAGUUCCCGGGGGUCUCGGAGACGUCGAUUCCGGCUAUUUAUAGAAAACCCCCUUUGAAAAAUGUGAAGAAGAAGCUGGACCGGAAGAACAAUGCCAAGGCCUGGGUCAACACCGUCACGGAGGCCCUGUCAGACGCCAUUGACAAGAAGCAGUGGCUCCAAGCUCUUGAGGUUUUUGUCUUAAUCUAAACAAAAAUUAACAAAUUUUUCAUCUUUUUUCUUAUGUGUUUUUAGUUUGGUGAAUGUAAAUUGAUGCAAAAUUUAAAAAAAUGGUAUUUUUAUGCUUACCAAUUUAGUUUCUUGAACCAUGUUCUUGAAAAAUGUGAUCUUUUUAGCUGAAUGAUUUUAGUGGAAUUAUAAUUAAUUGGGUGUUUUUGUUUGGAAAAUGUAUGAUGAAAUUGGGUACUAUUACGUUCAGGUGUUUGACAUGCUUAGGGAACAACCAUUUUAUCAACCGAAAGAAGGGACUUACAUGAAACUCAUUGGUAUGCUUGGAAGGUGCGGCCAACCCAAUCGUGCCCGCCAGCUUUUCGAUACAAUGGUUGAAGAGGGCUGUGAACCAACUCUUGACCUUUACACAGCCUUGCUCGCGGCUUAUUGCCGGAACAAUCUGAUUGACGAGGCAUUUUCUGUUCUUAACCUGAUGAAGACUCUCCCGCAAUGCCAGCCUGACGUUUUUACUUACAGUACCUUGAUAAAGGUUUGCAUUGAUCAUUUGAAGUUUGAUUUAGUUGAGUCCUUGUAUGAGGAAAUGGCUGAGCGGUUGAUAGCUCCGAAUACAGUCACCCAAAACAUAGUGUUGAGUGGAUAUGGUAAGGCCGGGAAGUAUGACCAGAUGGAAAAAGUGUUGUCCGGGAUGCUGGAGGGUACAAGUUGCAAGCCUGAUGUCUGGACAAUGAAUGUUGUCCUUAGUGUGUUUGGAAACAAGGGUCAGAUAGAUAUGAUGGAGAGAUGGUAUGAGAAAUUCCGUGAUUUUGGGAUUGAGCCGGAAACUCGCACUUUGAACAUUCUGAUUGGUGCUUACGGGAAGAAAAGGCUGUAUGAUAAGAUGUCAACUGUGAUGGAGUACAUGCGCAAGCUUCAAUUCCCAUGGACAACCGCAACUUACAACAAUGUGAUAGAGGCUUUCGCGGACGUAGGAGAUGCAAAAAACAUGGAAUACACGUUUGAACAGAUGCGUGCUGAGGGCAUGAAAGCAGACACCAAAACAUUCUGCUGCCUUAUUAAUGGGUAUGCCAAUGCAGGCCUCUUCCAUAAGGUGGUUAGCUGCGUUCAGUUGGCUGGAAAGUUUGAGAUACCUGAGAAUACCACAUUUUACAAUGCGGUGAUAGCUGCAUGUGCAAAGGCAGAGGAUUUAAUGGAGAUGGAAAGAGUUUUCAACCGGAUGAAAGAGAAGCAAUGUCAACCGGAUUCCACAACAUACUCUGUCAUGGUUGAGGCAUAUAGUAAGGAAGGUAUGAACGACAAGAUCUACUACUUGAAGCAGGAGAUUGGUACUGAUGGUAAUCAAAGUGAUCAGAUUAGUGUUGAAGAAAAUCAAAGUGAUCAGAUUAGUGCCGAAGAGAAUCAGAGUGAUCAGAUUAGUGUGGAAGACAAUCAGAGUGAUCAGAUUAGUGAUGAAGGCAAUCAAAGUGAUCAGAGUAGUUUUGAAGAUAAUCAAAGUGAUCAGGCUUUUGGAGCUGAGUCUGGCGGUGUUGUCUAGUUGAGAUCUUUGGAGGCAACAGUAUGCUCCAAAAAUCCCUAAUCUCACAGGGCAAUUCCAUUCCCCGCAGUUCUUCUAAGGCAGCAGCAAACUCUUAUUGUGAAAUUGCCGAUCGAUCAGGUAAUCAAACAUUUCCAUUCUCGGAUGGGUGUUAGCAAUGCUGCUUCCUCCAAUUUUAUGUUUCUGGUGAAGGACUGUAUGGAUUGAUCUGAUAGACUGAUAACCCGGGUGAAACUUUAUGGAAAAUGAUUGUACAUACAGAGUUGAUAAGUGUCUCUCUCCAAACUUGAUGCGAUCUCUAAACUAGCAUGCAAAAUUGUACGACGAUUUGUAAGAGUGUUUAACUGUGUUCAACAGAGGAAUUGCUUUUUGUUAUUGCCUGAAAUGUUUUGAAUGUAACUUCACGUAUAUAUUGUCUGCAGCAGCUGCUGGACAAUCAUAGAAGGUGGUCUGUAAACACGUUGUUUUUGAAAAUUAAUCGCUCUUUUCGGUACAUUUUGUGCUGCUGUUGUUCGAAUGUUUUGGCACUUGAGGCAGACAAUUGAUCUGCAAUUAUCCCAAAAUGUAAGGGUCCAGCUCAACAAAACGCAGGGGUAAUUUGAUCAAAGAUGUAAGUUUUGUUAUAUUGACUUUUGAGUAGCAUUGGUAGUGUAAUAAACAAUAUCAGUAACGUUGAAUAAUAAUAAAUUUUACUUGGAUGCCGGCGUGUGUAGUAAGAAUAUGUCCAAAGUGGUUUGGACAACGACAUGAUGGUGCGUUAACUAAUAUGAUCUUAUCACGUGAUGAGAGAUAAAGGAGAGAUGAAUGUAUUCGUGACCUGGAGGUUAUUCUACACGUAAACUUGUAAAGAUAGGCAAACAGGGUGCUUUUUGGUUGAAACGAAAUGCUGAAUUGUUUACUCUUUCUUGUGUAAGAAGAGAAGACUUGUAUCGUAAUCAGGUACUAAUUGUUGUCUUUUGGUCCCACCUUACCUCACACUAUAAAUAAUGGCAUCUAAACCCGAUUAUUCACAGAGAAGCUUUCACAAAAGCAUAAAACUCUUAUAUUUUGGUUUCACUCGCCUCAAACUAGUCUCCCUCGUUGAAAUAGCUAACCUAGUUAGGAACUGUACACAAGUUUCUCUCGUAUCGAAGAAAGUCAAAGAAGUUUUUAGCUCACAAAAGCACAUAACCCCCUAUAUAUUCCAUUUGAAUCACCAUUUACAAAAUUUGUACUAACUUUCCAGUCGAAGAUAGGAUAGUUUCGACAAGUAUUGAACGGCUAAGAUAACUUUAUUUAUUACAUGAAUGGCUAAGAUUAAAAACAAGGGCACGUAGACGAAUACAAACAUCUUCAAUGAGAGGAUCCACCAUUUCUACCAUUGGAAAUUUAAUUUCCUUACAGAAUAGGCGAAAAGUGAAGCGAAAACAAUCGGGAAAGCAAUGAGAACAAUCGCCACGAGGAAUAAACGAUCGUGAUGGAAGCCAUAGUAGUCUUGAAGGAAGGAAGCAACUGUUUUCUGCUCCCCAAAAAUCAAAAUCUCUUUGUUCAUGUCUCCAUAUUGUGAACUGAGGAGGGCAUUUAGGGACCAUGAUGUAGGACAAAUCCAAUAGAACCAAAUCCACCACUUGGGAAUUUUCUGCAUAAAAUAUAUAGAACAUGGUCCGCUAGGCUCACAGUAAACCGUCAUAUUAAGGGUUUAUUUGGCACUGCUUCUUUAGAAAGAACUUUUGCUUAUAAAUUAUAAGCGCUUUUUCUGUAAGUUGUUUAAUAGAGUUAUGUUGCAAAAAAAGCAGUUGGGAGGGCUUCGCAUACUAAAAGCUCUUAAAGUUUUACUACAUAGUCUUUUGGCUUUUCUAGAAGCAGUCUCAAACAGGGCUAAAGACUAAAGAGAGAGUUAGAUUUAGUUACCGGCCCGAGCACAAGGAAGCCGGAAAAAAGAUUCAAUAUGGUGUAGAUUGCCGUUGCGAAAAUGGAAGCUACUUGCAGGCUUGUGCUAAAAGAAGCUAUCAGCAUCCCAAGGUAUACAAAUUAGAGAAAUGUAGAGAAUGUUGCAUGGAAGUACCAGAAAACCUUAGUAGCUGACCAAUAGUACCCUAUUGUAGGGUAUGUAAUAAUGACAUACAGAAUUGCUUGAACCACUUUGUAAGUUAUUUCAAUGGCCACCUACAACAACAUUCAAAAUUUCGACAUGUUAAAAACCUUUCCACUACAAGCUACGUUAUAGUACCAGUUAAAAUGUACGAACCUGUGCAAACGAAUGAGCGUUUGAUGAGUACAUCCCAGCAAAUCUUUCCCGGUACAGAACUGCGCGCUCAGUAGCCACGUAAGGCAGAACCGUCGAGCAAUUGGUUGUGCCCAAAAAUAUUACAGCAAUGUACAGUAACCCAAGCACGUUGAACAAAUCAUGCUCAUUGUUUCUUGAGGAACAAGAAAAACACAGGAUUUAGCGUUGUUGAGCAAAAAUUGUACAUAAUAUGUAAACAAAUAAUUCUCUCGACAUAAUUUCACCCUCGUUCAUUUUUCGAAGAGGGUUUUAUUAGUUUGAGUUUGAUUCAUUCUAGGUUACGCGCCUAUUAAUUACAACCUUUCUUUUGGGAAAGGAAUACCCUUUGAUUCUAAUAUGAAUAAAUCGUAAUUUGAGGAUUUGGGUGUUUAUUUGAUUUUGUGACUGUAUCUAGGUAGAGCCCUAGAUUGCCUACGUACCCUCGUUGAGGGAUCAAAUCACUCGUAGUUCCUUAUGUGUUUUGUUGGGGUUUGACGCCUUGUGCAGUUUCAGCUCAUGCAGAUGAGGAUUUUAAGCCGUUGGAGCUUUAAUAAAUUUGAUAUGGUUUUAUGCCAUUCUGAAAUUUGAUACGGCUUCGUGCCAGUUAACAUAGCUUCGUGCCACUUGAGAUUUUGUUGCGGCUUCAUGCCAUUUGAUAUUUGACUUUUUCUUCGGCUUUACGGCUUCGUGCCAUUGAAUUGGCUUUGAGCCAUUUGAGGCAGCUUUGUCCCAUUUAAAGUGGUUUUAUGCCGCUUAAACGUUGAGUAAAAUUAACAGGUUUAUUUCUGAUAAACCCACUAAUAUUUUGGCAUUUGACUCUGGCUUGGUACCAUUUCUUACUCCAUGUUUAAUUUUACUUUUCCUUUUUCGUUUGCCCUUUCUUCUGACAAAUUUGUAGAGAAUCAUGCUUGGAAUAAAAAAAAAAUUUCCUCUGUUCCUUCAUGGGAUUUACUCCACAAGGGUUUUGUUCAAAGCAGCAGAAGUGAAUUUAGUUUAUACAAACCAGGGAUUCAUCUUGAUUUCUUGGUUGCGUCUAAAAUUUGAUAUCAGACUGCCUACGUAUCCUUAACGGAAUCAAACCGGCGUAGUUCGUAACUUUUGAGACUCAUCGCGGCUUUGUGCCAUUUGAUACUUGAUAUGGAUUCGUGCCAUUUGAAGUUUGACGGAGCCUUGUGGCAUUUGUGUCUUGUAAAUAUUUGUGAUGAACCCACUUUUACAUUGGUAUUUGACUUUGUCUUCCUUUUCAUUUAUUUUGUCUUGGAACCCAUUUUAUUUUGCCUACAAGCCCGUCACUCUAUUGUUGCCCUUUAUUUUUUUGCAUGGUAGCACAAAAAAAAUCCUUGCUUUCAUAUGGAAAAUAUAAAAGCAAGAGUCAAAGCUCCUUUAUUUUUACCAAUGCCUUUUUCAAGCUUUUAAGUCCCUUGCUUUUCUUCUUUCUUUAUUUUUCUUUUGUCAUUGCCGUAUGUCUCCCUAAGAACAACUCCACUUUUGGAGCCCUUUCUCCAUGCAAUCCACUAUUCAAUCCACCAUGUAAACAGUAAUUACCCUUAAUAAACAGUAACUACUUUUGUAUCUCAACCCUUGCACUUGAAUACCCUUGGCAAUAGGCAAUAAAAUAUUAAUUUUUAUAAUUAAUAUUAUAUUAUUUAAUUUGUACAAAUUAAUAUUAUAUUAUUAAUUUAUCUUUUCCAAUCUCUUCCCGAAACUUCUACCAUUUUUGUUUUCUUCUUCCUUCCCACUCUCUCACUCCCCUCUCCCUCAUUGUCUUCUUUUUUUUCUCCGGCCGACAGUCUACCUCCCCUCUCUCUUUUUCUCCCCCAUUUCUCCCUGUUUUCUUCCUCAAACGAGGAAGCUGCGAAUUUUGAGAGAGAGCAGCACCGAACCCACCCGCCUCCCGCCAUGUCUAAAUCCACUGAUGUGUCUUUCUUCCUCCUCAUGGUCCUCUGCGGCCAGGCCCAAAGAGGCCGCCUGCUUCUUUCCGACUUCAACCAAUCAACGUCAUCCGAUCUGAUCUCCGAUAGAGUCCACCACCACCACCGGUCCCACACCCUGGCUCCCUACCUCACUCUCGAGAACGCCCUUUCGGCGGAAGACUCCACCUGCAAGCAGACCUACGUUUUCCUGCCUUGCACCACCACUGUGAUCGACAACCUUUCCUAAUUCCUGACAGAAAAAAAUUAAAAAAAAGGACUGACGCCAGCCUGACGUCAGCCCCUACUCGGGCUGGCAAUUCCUCAUAGACCCUUUGCUCGGGCCUUGGCUGCUGCUUGGGCUUGCUCACGCUGGAGCUGGUCGACAGGGCCUUGGGCUCUUUCUUCUCCCCCCGUCCCUCGAGCAGGAGCUUCCGCUAAAGCUGCUCUAAUGGUUCGAAGAUGAUGGAAUCCAAUUUGAAAUGGCACAAGUUAAAUUUCCAUAAAGAACUCCCAUAACUUUAUUGACCCCUACGUGAGCAACUUUCCAUGUGAGGUGCUGAUUUCAGUUAGCAUUCUUCUUUGAUCUUUUCAAACCCAUUUAAACAUGGGACUUCGAACCUAUCUGACCUAAACUUCUGACCAAUCUGAGAGCAAGCCUUACUCUUUUCUUUGUUUGACUUCAAAGGUCUCCAAAUUCCAAUAAGACUUUAUCCCAUACUUUAAAUGGGGGAACCAUGACUUUCUUUUGUCUUCCACGACUUUCUUUUGUCCUCCACGUGAGUGGUUUUCUUGCUAUGAAGUAAAAGAAGACCACAUCAACAUUUUUUUAACUUUACUUUUGAUUUGACAAAAGCUUUUUGGUCUGGAACUCUUCUUCUCUCCUUAUGAGUUUUAAACAUUUUUUUUUCUUUGUCUUCAACCUUGAAUUUAGCUUUGCCCAACAUUUGACAAUAACUUACUUCAUCUUUGAGGUGCCACGUAUUUAGCCUUUUUUAAAAAAAACAAGCACUUUCUUUUGAGUUUUCUGUUUCCUGCAUGGAUUUGUCUUCACAGGGGUAAAACUAGUCUUCGACUAAAAUCACGAAUCAUCUUUUGCUUGUUGGAGAUUUUUUCUUCAAUUCCUAAUUUAAACAGGAAUUUGAAUGAAACUUGGUCAGUGGCAACUAGCGCCUAUUCUUCUUUGGCUGGGCUUUCUUUGGGUUUCUGUCUCAAUGAAGAACGCCAAAAGUUUUUGAAGAAGACCAUGGCCCGUCGACCGACAGAAGCUUCGGGACCAUAGCUGGGCAUGUUGGGUUCUUGUUCUCCACUUGUUCAAAUGUGCAGAGUGACGGCUUAUUCUCCGUUGCAUCUCUGAAAAGAGGAAGGGAGAUGUCGAAAACUUCUUUAGACACCCAAGAGGCUACAGGAGGUUGUGGGAAGACGAUUUGCUGCUGUGUUUUGAUGAAAUCUCCGUUGGACAUCACAAGUUGCAGGGUGUCGAUGAUGUUGAAGACAUGGCGCAGCUGCUGUCUCUGUUUGGGCUUCCGUCUAACGUCGGCGGUUUAUUGCAAUGUUGCCUUCAUUAGCUAUUUCACACCGCUGCCAUCUUCUUGCUCAAACCUUCGUCAAAUUUGUUGAUGGUCUGGACUGGCGUGCCCAACUACGUCACCUGGUUUCAUCACCUUCGGAUCACGAACUGCACUGCCCUUGGGCUUCUUCCGGAGGACUGACAGAGACGACGGUUGAAAAAUGGUGGUGUUGCCGUAGUGCAGUGAUCACCUAGACCUGGUUGGAACUUCACGGGGUGGUUUAGACCACCCCGAAGAAAUUCAUGGGACUGGGGAUGGGAGAGAAACAAAUUGUUUUUUUUUCUUCUUGCAAAGCCGAGAGAAAGCAUACAAAGAAAGAUUUAGAAGGAUAGAUUUAUACCUUUAAAUGCUUUGUAGCAUUUCCUGCUCUUUGUUCUUGCGGGUAGCACUUGAUAUCUUCUUCUUUUUUCUUCUUUUGUUUCUCUUUUGCCUUUGCUCUCUUGCUUUGCCUCUCAUUCUCUGUUGUCUUCAUUGCGCUUUUCUGUCUCUCAAUUUUUGCAGAGUACCCUUGUCUUUUUUUUUUUUUUUUCUCUUGCUGUAGUUGAUGCCUAUUUAUAGGCAUCCCAAGUAAAGGAUGAUACAUUCCUGAUCUCUUGGGAUUGUUUCCUGUUUCAUCAUGAUUUCCAGAUUUCCCUGUUUUAUUAAAACAUUCCCCUUAUGUAUUCUUUGUAGAUUAAUUAUACUUGUAAAUCAAGUCAUUGUACACUAUUUAAAUCAAUGAUAAUGCACCCUCUAGGGCAUCGAGGGAUUGAGCCAAAAUACCUUCUUUUGAGUUAUCUUUUAUGGUACUCAGAGCCAGUGACUAACGUCUUUUUUUUCUUUUCGGAUUCUUCCUACUCUUCUCCAUGGCUGCCUCAACCAGUUCGACUACUCCUUCCUCCGACAUCUUCCCUUCUGUUUCUCAUGCGAUCUCCAUCAAACUUGACUCUUCCAAUUAUCCUCUUUGGUUGGCUCAGUUGCUACCUGUUCUUCGCAGUCGUCAAUUGUUGGCUUUUGUUGAUGGUACUUCCAUCUGCCCCUCGGCGUUCUUGUCCGACGAUACCGGCAACGCCUCUUCCAAACCCAACCUCGCGUAUGCUGACUGGGUUCAGAAGGACCAGCUUGUUCUUUCUUGGAUCAAUGGCUCUCUUGGUCACCAGGCCCUCGCCGCCACUGCUCGUCAUUCCACUGCCCGUGAUGUUUGGGUUGCUCUUCAGCAGCGUUUUGCUUCUACAAACCAAAGUCGCAUUCUUCAGCUUCGUACUGCUUUCUUCCAGACCAAACGAGGUGAUUCUUCAAUUUCUGACUUUCUUGAUAAGAUCAAUGGUAUUGCCGAUCAAUUGGCCCUUGCCGGGGCACCUGUUUCUGCUGAUGACAUGGUGCCGGUCGUCAUGUCUAAUGUCGGCCCCAAAUUUGAGAACACUGUUGCUGCUGCUCAGGCCCGUGACAACCCCAUCUCCCUUUCUGAUCUUGAGGCUCUUCUUCUCGUUGCUGAACUCCGCCUUGCUGAUCCUCCUGCUCCGCCGGACUCCAGCGUCUCGGCCCUGGUAGCCUCCCGCGGCUCUUCUGCCUUUCAUGGCCGCUCCUCUUCUGAUCGCGGCGGCGAUCGUGGCUCUGGCCGUUUCUCACGUGGGGGUGGUCGUCCUCAACAUGAUGGGUCUCGCAACAAUGGUGGUGACGGCUAUCGUGGCUAUCGCGGUGCUGGUGGUUUCCAUGAUCGUCCGUUUCGCGAUCGUGGUGGUGGUCGUCCUCAGCACGAUGGCUCUCGCUUCCGUGGCUCCAACAAUGCUUCUGGGGUUCUUGGUCCAGCCCCAUAUCACGGUUCCUCCCGUCCUCGCUGCCAUAUUUGCAAUACUUUUGGUCAUGGUGCUCUUGACUGUGCUCAACGUCUUAAUUUGGCUUAUGAAGGUCGUCCUCCUUCUUCCCGUCUCACUGCCUUGACUGCUCAGCACUCCCAGCCUUGGCUCAUUGAUUCCGGGGCAAACUCGCAUAUCACCAAUGAUCUCAAUACUUUGUCUCAGUCCCGUGAUUAUCGUGGUGGUGAUUCCGUCGGUGGUGUCGUUGGCGGUACAGGUUUGCCCAUUAACCGUAUUGGCUCCUCCACUCUCUCUCAUAAUAAUAUUUCUUUCAAGCUUAAUGAUGUUCUUCAUUGUCCGGAUGCUUCUACUUCUGUGUUGUCUGCUAAUCGGUUUAUGUUGGAUAAUAAUUGUUAUAUUACAUUGUUUCCUUCUUGUUUCUAUAUUCAGGAUAUGGAGACGGGGACGAUUCUUUUUUCGGGCAAGAGUAGCAAUGGCUUUUAUCCCUUUUCCUCUUCAUCACCGACUGCUCAUGGUCGUGCUGCUUUUCUUGGUGUUCGUGUUGGUAGUGAUGUCUGGCACUCUCGUUUAGGCCAUCCAUCUUCUUCCAUUUUAAAAUUUCUUUUUUCUAGGCAUUCGAAUAAGUUGCCUGUUUCUGGCAACCUCAAUCUCAAUACUUUUAUGUGUCAUUCUUGUCCUUUAGGCAAAAGUGUUAAGUUACCUUUUUCUGCAUCAUUGUUUGUUACUCAAGCUCCUCUUGAGCUUAUUCACUCCGACGUGUGGAGUGCGUCCAAUAAAUCUGUUAGUGGUUUCCAAUAUUAUGUUCUUUUUGUUGAUAAUUUCUCUCGUUAUUCUUGGAUUUAUCCCAUGAAAUUGAAAUCUGAAGUCUUUAAUAUUUUUACUCACUUUAAGACCUUGGUUGAAAAUCAAUUCUCCACUAAAAUUAAGAUGUUUCAGUCCGAUGGUGGGGGCGAAUACACUAGUCACCAAUUCAAGAAUUUUUUUCUUCACCAUGGUAUUCAUCAUCGUCUCUCAUGCCCUCACCAUCCCGAACAAAAUGGUUUGGCGGAACGCAAACAUCGUCACAUUGUCGACACUGGACUUACUUUAAUGGCCCAUGCGUCGAUGCCUCCUGCCUAUUGGGCUAAGGCCAUGCACACAGCAGUUUAUCUUCUCAAUCGCCUCCCCUCUAAAGUACUUGGUUUUAUGUCUCCUUAUCAAAAGUUGUUUCUUAAGGAACCUGAUUAUAGUUUUUUAAAGACCUUUGGGUGUGCAUGUUUUCCCCACCUACGACCCUAUAAUAAUAAUAAACUCCAGUUUCGUUCUACUAAAUGUGUUUUUCUUGGUUACUCUCUCAAUCAUCAAGGUUCUCGGUGCUUAGACAUCUCUACUAACCGCAUCUUUUUAUCACGCCAUAUUGUGUUUGAUGAAGGUAAUUUUCCUUUCAAGGCCAUCUCUGGCUCUCUUGCCCCAUCCUCCCCGGCCUCGUCUCCUCCUCCUGUUUUAGAAAUCACUGGGCCUCUUCCGCAUGCCCCCCGACCGUCUAGCAGCCAACCGGUGGUUGUGUCCCCCUCUUUGGAGACUCAUCAAUCCAGUCCAUCAUCCGACCCACCACAGCCGGCCCUACAGGUUUACUCCCGUGACCCUCACAGGCGGGUUCUUUCUUUUGCACAAGCAGCAACCCCAUCUGUCACUCCCAGGCCCACGCCUGCUGUUGCCUCUGCAGUUCAACCUGAUGCGCCUCCCGAGGCUCCAUCUGCUGCUGUACCACCUGCCGUGCCCUCUACUUCCCAUGGUAUGCUCACUAGGUCCAAAACGGCUUCUCUUAAGCCUCAUAAAUAUGUUUUUUCUGCUGCCAUUUCUUCUUCUACCGGUCCUAUUGAGCCUACUUGUUUUAGUCAGGCCAACACUUUUCCCGAAUGGCGUACUGCGAUGGCCGAUGAAUUUAAUGCACUUCAACGUGCUGGUACUUGGACUCUUGUUCCUCGUACCGCUUCUAUGAAUAUUUUGCCAAACAAAUGGGUGUUUCGUAUUAAACAGAAUUAUGAUGGGUCUAUUCAGCGGUAUAAGGCUCGUUUGGUAGCCAAUGGUUUUCAUCAGCAACCCGGCCUUGAUUAUGGUGAAACUUUUAGUCCUGUUGUCAAUCACUCUACUAUUCGCUUAAUUUUGGCUCUUUCAGUUCAGUUUCAAUGGCCUGUUCGUCAGUUGGAUGUUCAGAAUGCUUUUCUUCAUGGCUCUUUGUCUGAGGAGGUCUAUAUGCACCAACCUCGUGGCUUUGUUGAUCCACAGUUCCCUCAUCAUGUGUGCCGCCUUCGUCGUUCUUUAUAUGGGCUCAAGCAGGCGCCCCGUGCAUGGUUCCAAUGUUUUUCCACUCAUUUGGAAGAUUUGGGUUUUCGUCCCUCUACUGCGGAUCACUCGCUUUUUACCUAUAUUCAUGGCUCUACUCGCAUUUAUCUCUUAAUUUAUGUUGAUGAUAUUUUGGUCACCGGGAAUAAUCCCUCAUAUUGUCACCCUCAUUAAGAAUUUGGGCAUCCGUUUCUCUAUGAAGGACCUUGGACCGGUUCAUUAUUUCUUAGGCAUGGAGGUGGUCCGCACUCCAUCAGGUCUCUCUCUUUCCUAACAAAAGUAUGCCACUGACCUACUUCACCGCACCAAAAUGCAUGGUGCUAAGCCGGUUCCUACUCCUGCCGUUAGUGGGCGACGGCUCAGUCUUCAGGAUGGUGACCCUCUGCCGGAUCCUAUUGAAUACCGAAGUGUUGUCGGCGCCCUUCAAUACUUGACUCUCACUCGUCCCGACAUCAACUUCGCCGUCAACCAAGUCUGCCAAUUUCUUCACCAGCCGACUUCUACUCAUUGGGCCGCCGUCAAACGCAUUCUUCGUUACCUUGUCGGCACUACUUCUCACGGUCUUACCUACAAGCCUGGUUCCUUUCGUCUUACAGCAUUUUCCGAUGCCGAUUAUGCCGGGAUCCUGAUGAUCGGCGUUCCACCGGGGGCUAUUGCUUGUAUCUGGGUUCCAAUCUUGUCUCAUGGAGUGCCAAGAAACAAAAUGGGGUCUCUCGGUCCAGCACUGAAGCCGAGUAUCGUCAACUUGCAAUCACCGCUGCCACUCUUUCAUGGUUUCGUAUGCUGUUCCGUGACCUCCAGUUUCCUCUACAUUGUCCUACACUGUUUUGUGACAAUAUCAGUGCUAUAUCCCUUGCUUCCAACCCGGUGUUUCAUGCCCGCACUCGGCAUGUUGAGGUGGAUUACCAUUAUGUUCGUGAAAAGGUUGUUCGCAAGGAGAUUGAUGUUCGUUAUCUUUCUACUCAUGAUCAGAUUGCUGACUUCUUCACCAAGGGCCUUUCUCUUCCUCGUUUUCGACUUCUGGUUUCCAAGCUUCCUGUACUUGAUUGUACUGUCAGCUUGCGGGGGCGUAAAGGAUGAUACAUUCCUGAUCUCUUGGGAUUGUUUCCUGUUUCAUCAUGAUUUCCAGAUUUCCCUGUUUUAUUAAAACAUUCCCUUUAUGUAUUCUUUGUAGAUUAAUUAUACUUGUAAAUCAAGUCAUUGUACACUAUUUAAAUCAAUGAUAAUGCACCCUCUAGGGCAUCGAGGGAUUGAGCCAAAAUACCUUCUUUUGAGUUAUCUUUUCCCAAGAAGGCUCUAGAAUUUGUUACGUGGGGGAAGAUGGAGACCAUGACCUCCUGCCACUUUCUGUUAACCCCCUUUUCUGACUCCACGUUUCUUUUUGUUGCAGAAAAUGGGGGAGCACCUGUUUUUUGCACGUUACUUCCCCCCUUAUGUAGGAAAAAAAUUAUAAAUUUUUUAUUUAUUCCUGAAUGUAUUUGUAUGUAAAGCUCAUCCUCAUCUUUUGGGUUGGAUUACAUUUUUGUUUUACCUUGAAGUUUGACUCAAUUUGAAUGGACUUUAUUUUUUCAUAUUUUUUUUGUUCAACAAGCGUAGUUUUCUUUUUCUUUUUCUCUGUGAAAUAUAUAGUAUGAAGAGGGUGGAAAUGGGUCGGGGCUUACAUUUCCUUCACUUUCUGCCAAAAGAUUGUUCCGAACCACACUGAUAGAGCGAAAAUAAACGCGAAACGUGCUAGAUUGUACUUUGGACUUCUCCAGUGGGACAAGUGUUGUUUCCACAGACAUGCCUUAAACUGCACCCAGCUAUUUUGAGCAAAAGGAGUGGGAAGGUUCAAGCCCCUUGAACCCGGCUUUGGUUCGCUCAACCGGCUAACCAACUCGACCGUGUCUCUCUGAAAAAGAAGGAAACAAACAUAUAAAUUUGAUGAUUGAAAUAAAUACAUGAUUAAUCCUAAAAUAAUGGAAAUAUUAGAGAUAUGCCCUUACCUAUACUGAGUAGAGGGUUUAUAAAUUUCAGCAAAAUCUAAACAAAGUUUUGCCUCUACUGAGGCAGAAGUAACUUCUAACAUCCAAGUUGCUGGAUUGUAAUUUUCUUUGAUCUUUGGUACAUCACGAAUAUCCUCAAAAUAUUUGACGAGUUUACUCGAGUGAUGACCGAGAACUCCAGAAUAGAUGAUUUGGCCUCCCCUUUUCAUCAAAAGUAACUGCAAAAAUCAAUGUCUUCCGUUAGUGAUCGAGUGGCUUUUAUGAUUUGGUUUAGUUUUCUUGGACUCCAUGACAAUGCUCGUUAUACUACCUCGUCAAAUGACUGAAAAAUAUCAAUGCUUGGCUUGUGGAUUGUGCAAACAGUUGUCCUUCCUGUGGAAACAACAUUCUUUACUACGCAAAUGGCAAUUGCAGCUGCUCUGGCGUCUAAGCCUGACGUAGGUUCAUCCAUAAAUAUUAUUGAUGGGUUGGAUACAAGCUCCACUGCAAUUGUUAGCCUUUUGCGCUGUUCAGUAGAUAGGCCAGUUUGUCCAGGAAUGCCAACUAAGGAAUCUCUUAUAUCCUCCAGUUCAAUCGUUUGAAUGACUUCCUCCACAAAUUUCUGCAUAGAUUAAGCAAAGGAUACUUUCUUUUAUAUGUUCCAGGAAAUUUGCAUAUUAUUGAUAAAUUGAAAGAAUAUCAUCCUACAGCUUUUAUGUCUGGAUCAGUUUCGUGUGGCAACCUCAACCAAGCUGAGAACAUAAGCGAUUCUUCUACCGUGAUCUGUGGAGAAUGUAUAUCAGUCUGCUCGCAGUAUCCUGAUAUUCUUGCAAAUGUCUUCUGGACCUUGGGGUACCCUCCGAUUCUUAUAUCUCCCACGAUACUACCUCCUGUUUCCCUUCCAGAAAGAACAUCCAUGAGAGUUGUUUUUCCAGCCCCAUGCGGUAGGAAUUCCUGGACUGAAUGCUCCUGUUAUAUCUUUAAGCAACUGAAGCUUUUUCUCCUUGAAAGCAUGCUGUCUCAUUUCCUUUUUUAAGAAGGAAUGAAGUUAAAAUACAACUAAAUAGUUUUCCAAUGAUACUAAUAUGUGAAAAUUGACUAAUGAUUUGAUUAAUUACCGGAGGUGUAUCAACAUAAUACUGCACGUCCUUAAAUGAGAUUGUCAGUGGCUCGAACGGCAGGACCAUUCUCCCUGUUUAACAAAUUGAUUUACUCUCGAAUAAUUCAGUUGUUAAAAAAAUUCCUUGCUCGUUGCUUUGAAUGGAAAAUGUGAAACUGAUAACCCGGAUAAACUGGAUGCAACAAUUCAUCUCACCUAGUGUUAUCUUUUCUCCCAUGGUUUUGAAUAAAUCGGAUAGAGUUGAUUCAUUUUCCAACGGUGCACCAGUUUGGGUUAAUAUUUAACAUUGGGCUUAUAGGAGAGAAAGCCCAAAAGAGUUCAAUAAGAAGAGUUUCGUCCGAAGCCCAGCACCAAGCCCAGACCGUCCAUCUCAAGACCAAUUGGCACUCUCCUAUUAAUGCAAAGGCUAAGUGCUUACAAGAGAAGUGACAACUGAUGAAAAUCAACCUACUCUCAGCCCAAAAGUACUUUUCAGUGGCAAUACAAGUAAAAUAUUGAUGAGUCACUACCAUUCAAUUGCUUUUGGGUAAGAACAAAGCUACAAGCGGUCGGACUAAUUCGUUUAUAAAAGGAGGAAGAGGGCUCAGAGACAAGGACACUCAAUCAAUCAAACAUACAACUUGUCUCUCAUCCAAGCAAAUACCCAGAAAGCUGUGCUUUGUCCAGACUCUGCACCCUUUUAGCCUUAGAUUUCCUUAGAAAGACAUCUUUUUUCUAUGUAAAAGCUCUGCUACAUUUUUCUAAAUGUUGUAGUAUCGAUCCCUCGUGUAUAAACUCGUUUCCAGUCAUCUCCUUUAGUACUCAAUUCUUUUGUAAACUGCAAAGAGAAGAGAUCGCAAGGCGUUUAACCUUGCUUGACAAAGUGAAAUCUUGCCCAACUCUCUUUGUUUUUAUCUUUCAAUUAACAAAUAUGGUGUUAUAAUGUAUUCCGUAGUUUAUAUUCAAGUUAUUUCCAGUCCUUUGAUGACCCAAAGCCCCAUCAGUUCUCAGAUCUGGUUCACUUAGUGGUUUUAUCAAGAAUUGAAAUGAAUUAAACUGAUGACUUGAUCAGAUCUAAGCCUUCACCCCUCAAGCAUACAAAAUAACUAAAAGUCUUUGAUCUCAAGGCAUAGAAAAUAACUUAAUGUAGACUUAAUCCAUCUACAACAAUCCUUUGAUAAACAAGAAGUCAGAAAUAACUUGGGGUGCAAGUAAUCGGCUUAAAACACACUUGUUCUACAUCUGCCAUACAGAGAUGGCAGUGGCACGCCUAAGCACCUAGUUAGUUUUGAAUGCGAGCCUCAAGGCCUAUACCUAAGGCCCCACAAAGGCACCUUUCAGAACUAACUUUGUUUUCCUCUUGCAGUAUUGUGACAAGCAGGAGCCCAACAAUCAACCAAAGUGCCAACUCCUCGGGCAGCUGUGUGCUCGAGCCAGGAACGCCCACCAACCAGAUUUCCUGCCCAAAAAGCACCAGUUUUGCGAGCUCCCCUUCUUCAAAGUUGAGAUAAUCUUUUUUUCGAAACAAUAGCCCGAUACACCUUUGGAGCUGUAUGAGGAAAAGCUUAAGUAAACUGAUGUGGAGCUGUAUGAGGAAAAGCUUAAGUAAACUGAUGAAGUGGAUUGUAAUACUUAAGUUAUCAUCUGUCAAUUAAAAUGAAUCUAAGUAAGUUAAUGCUAAAAUAAAUCCAAGAUCAGACAGCAUUGUGAACCCGAGUAAUGCUCCUACUGAUAUCCAAUAGAAAUAGCCAUCAAAGUUCAAACCAUGCCUGGUUAGAACUUUAUUCCCUAGGGUUGUGUUUCCCUCUGAGACCUAAAGAAAUGAAUUAACACUGUCAAAACACUUAUUCGACUUCGAUGAUCGGGUACUAAAAAAGUUUAUCAUCUUGAGUUGUACCUUUUGCCAGCGAGGAGCGAGGAACUCGUUUAGAGUUGUACCGAUUUCCCCAUAAGUCAUAGGUGAACACCAGAAUAGUCAACGCAACCAAGGAGGUAAAGAGGCUGCAAAACACCCCUUAUUAGUCUAGUUGUAGUUGAAUGUAACUAAAGGAAAAAUACGAUAAAUGGACUUACAUCGUGGCAAGAUGAAGCCUCCGGAUAAAAACAUUAGCACUAGGAUUAAAAUACCGCAAGUUGAUGCAACAACCAUAGUUUGGAAAACUACAGCAAUUAAACGACAUAUGGAUGUCGAUGCUUGAUGGAGAGCAAAUAGCACAAGGAACUGGAAGAAGAACCUAAAAACCAUAGCAUAUUCUUGAGGCAUUAUUAUGAUUAUUGUUCAAGCCUUUCAUGUUCUGUCGUGUGACUAUAAAGUUGAGAUCUUACGUUUUUAUGUCUGGAGCGUACCCAAUCAAAUGGUAAGUUAUUGCUGUCCACAGCAGUGAAUCAAUCACUGAAAAUGGAACCUUCAGGAUAGACUGGAAGAGAAUACGCCCAUGCUGGAUACAGAUUGAAUCCUCUUUGCUUGUAAACCACUGGUAAUCUAGUAACAGUCACAGCUCUGCAAUUCCGUUGGUCAUAAGUCGAAUAAGUGUAUAAAACAAUGAGUUCAUAAAAAAACUUGCAUUUAUCAAAUCCACGGUCCUACGGGUGCUUAUACAGAUUGCCAUUGUAAUAAAUGCAGUGAUGACAAGCUGUGGGAAAAAAAGAGAGAAAAUAUAGUAAGUGAUUUUGAGUUUAACUUCAGAAGUACAACCCCUAAAAGUGAUAUCAUUAGGCAGUAAACCUGAGCUGUUUUGAAUACGUAGAGAAAGGAAUUCCGUUUCAUGAGAAGAAGCUCUCGGGCCAUACAACCUUUGAACAACUCCCAUUUGCUCACAGAGUAAGUACUAAAUGAUAAGGCAUUAUCAUGGCACUGUGAUUUAUUGUAUGGUUUUGAGAGCUCAUCGUCUAAUUUCUUCCCCGAGUAACUUGCUCUGAAAAGUUCAAAAAAUUUGUUUGCAGAAACAUGACCGUAGGGAAUGUUAUCAUGCUUCCAGUAUUGUGCUUGAUCCUUCUUUGAGAUCACCUCUUGAAGGAAAUCUGCAGCACCCUUUCUUGGUGGGCACUUGAAACCAGAGUCUUCGAAAAACUCAACUGCGUGGCUGCGAUGACCGUGGUAAACUAUCUUCCCCUCUGCCAUUAGUAUUACAUCAUAAAAAAUAUCAAUGGUCUCGGGUGCUGGUUGGAGAAGUGAUACCAAUGCAGUUGUAUCUGUGAUAUGCACCAGCUGCUGAAGAUAGGUAACUAUCUGAAAGGUUGUAGAACUGUCUAAUCCCGUUGAUAUCUCAUCCAUAAAAAGAGCUUUUGUAGGACCUACAAUCAUUUCUCCUGAAGAUUAAACAGAAGAGGAAUGUUAUGUUUGAAACAUUUUUCUACAUGGGAAUUAGUAAUUACAUUCAAAUUUCCCUCGGAUUCAAGAUUUCACUACCGGUUGUCAGCCUUUUCUUCUGGCCACCAGAAAUGCCUCUUCUUAAUGCAUCACCAACCAUUGUGUCACUCACUACACAUACCCAGUCCAAGUAUCUAAAGAGAUUCCAAAAUAUCGUAAUUCAUUUUUCCUGUCCGAGUGAGUUAGAAAUGUCACGUUUGAACUACUUAAUGUCAGCAUUGUCCAUGUCCAACACUGGUUGGAGAAAAAUUUACCUUCAAAACAUAAUCGGUUUGGAGAUUUUCCCUUUGUCCUUCAACUGAAAUGGCCUGUGAGUAUUAUGUAAAUCUCUAAAACCUCUAACACAAAAGGGUGGUAAGAUUUACUAAAAGGAAUGUUAUGAGACUUUACAAUUACCUUCAUGUAGGUGUCAAUAUCUGGAUCGGGGACUAUUCCUGCUUCUUUUUCCCUUCUGCUGAGCUCCAUUAUUAUAUAUGCAUAAAAUACGAUCGAAAUUAAACUUCAUACGUCAAUAGAAGUACACGACUAACCCAAUAGUAAAUGCAAUAGGGGAUAAGGAAUAUGCACCAGCUCUACUGCCAACACCCUGGCAGCGGGAGGAAAAGUCAAUUGUUUCCCUCAGUCAUCUCAGGCAGGUGAAGGUCAUGCUGGCUAAUGUAAGCUGAUGUUUUUUGGGGAACAAACUCAUCUAGCUUGUAACCAUUAUAAGUGUUGUAAACUGAAAUAGAAAGGAACGAAGUUACCUAAAAAAAUGUAGAAGCCUUGAGUGGUGAAUGAUUAUUGGGAUGAGUUGCGGACUAAGUCGCUUUCUUUAAGACGUUUCGCGGCUCUACCCAAAGUGUGCAAGCAGUUCACAAACACCACAUCGUCCUAGGAUAAAACAGCCCAAAACCUUCUUCUUCUUCUUCUGAUAAAGUUCUUCCUUGUACAGUAGAAGAACCUUCGAAUUCACAUUCUCUCAAUAUGUUGCUAACCAAAACUAUAUAUUAGAAAAUAUAUCUUCUUUUUUUUCCGCAUACUUUCAAUGAUCCAGGGACUACUAUAUAUACAUUUAGACGAAAGAGAUGUUGAGGGUUUGAGAAAAUUGAAAGCAGGACAAAAUCAAAACGUAAGUCAAAUAAAACGGUUUGAUUAUGUAUCAUGACAUGAUCUUCUUCUCUAUACAAAGAAGGAAUGGCACGUUUCAAACUUAAAAGGAGAUAACUCCUUACCUAAUUGAAAAGUCAAAAUCAAUUGGCAGUUAUGCAUAGAAUAUUGGUAAUAAAACAAAACGUUAUGUAUAUAAUAUUGGUAAUAAAAUAAAACAUAAAUAUAUUUAAAUAUUUAAAUAAAAACAUAUUUACUCAACAAUCCCCCACUUGUUUUUGUUUAAAACUAUACAUCAAGCAAUAUAUCGUAAAGCUAUACAGAAGUAAAUGUGUUUCUCAACUUAAAUCUAUACAUAGUGUUAGUGAUCGAGAUUAUACUAGAGUAACUUAUAGUUUUGAACUCUAUCCCUAACAACACCACACACACAACUUUAUUAAGGUGAAGUUCAAAAAGCCAGCACAUUACAACCAUGUGCUUGUAUCCCAGUAUAGUGAACGCUCUAGAAACUUGCUCAAGAUUUCAUAGGAAGCGGCAUCACUUCCACAUUCACAUAGUUAAGACUAUCAAGGUAUUCCUGUAGCUAGAUAUCUCACUUAACAUAGAGUAUAGACCUUACUAAGAGAAAAAAAAAUCUCAACCUAAAUACGCUUCAGGAUGUCAUGCUUCUUAGGGAUGGACAUGGAAUAAUAUUCCAAACUAAAAUUAGCAAGACUUCACUCUUAUCACUUGUGACUUGUUAUUACCCUUUGAACCUAUUUCUUGGGAUCUCUAGUCUAUAGGUUGGGUUGCUAUCACAAAUAACUCAAUUCUCUAGGGCUUUAGUCCCAUCCCUUUCGAGGUUUUCCAAACCUUUUCUCGUGCUAGUCCUUUUGUCAAAGGAUCAACCAAGUUUUCUUCAUACCGUAUAUGAUCCACUCUCACAGCUCCAUUAGACAGGUAAUCUCUUACAGUGAUGUGCUUACGACGUAUUUGUCGCCCUUUCCCAUUAUAAUAAUGAUUUUGCACUUUAGCUAUUGCCGAUGUGCUAUCACAAUGGAUCAAAACUGCUGGAAUCGGUUUCUCCCAUAAAGAGGUAUCUGACAGUAGGUUUCUCAACCAUCCUGCUUCUUCGCUUGUCGUAGCUAGCGCUAUUAAUUCUGACUCCAUAGUGGACUGAGCCAUGAUAGUAUGUUUCUUAGACUUCCAUGAUACAACCCCACCACCAAGACUAAAAAUACAUCCACUAGUGGCUUUAGAGUCAUCUGAAAGGGUAUUCCAAUCAGCGGCACUGCAACCUUCUAGGACAGCGGGAAACUUCUCAUAGUGUAAUCUAAAAUUCAUUGUCCUUUUAAGGUAUCUCAUAAGCCUAUCUAUGGCAUGCCAAUGCUCCAAACUAGGUCUACUAGUAAACCUGCAUCAAACUCCUACGACAUAAGAUAUAUCAGGCCUAGUGCAAUCAGUAGCAUAACGAAUGCUACCAAUAAUACUCGCAUACUCAGAUUGUUUAACACUGUCACCAAUGUUCUUGAACAAUUUUACACUAGGAUCAUGAGGAGUACAUGCUGGUUUACAAUCAAAAUAAUUAUACUUUCUUAAAAUUGUUUCUAUGUAGUGAGAUUGAUCUAAAGAAAACCCAUGUUCAAACCUAGUUAUUUUCAAACCAAGUAUUACGCUAACUUCACCCAAGUCUUUCAUAUCAAAAUUAGCAGAUAACAAAGAUUUGACAUUAUUCACAACAUGAAUAUUCGAACCAAAAAUAAGCAAAUCAUCCACAUAUAGGCAUAUAUUACUUUCAGACUUAUAAUAGAUGCAUUUGUCACUUUCAUUUAUUUUAAAACCAUUUGAAGUAACCAAACUAUCAAAUUUUGCAUGCCAUUGUGUGGGAGCCUGUUUCAAUCCAUAAAGUGACUUAUUUAACUUGCAAACUUUAUUUUCUUUUCUUGGAAUAAUAAAACCUGUGGUUGACCCAUAUAUAUUUCUUCCUCUAAUUUACCAUUUAAGAAAGCUGUUUAACAUCCAUUUGGUGCACAACAAGAUCAUGAAUAUAAGUUAAGGCAAACAAUACACGAAUAGAUGUUAUUCUAGUCACAGGUGAACAAAUAUAAAAGAAAUCAAUCUUUUCUCUUUGUCUAUAGCCUUUGGCAAUAAGUCGGGCUUUAAAAUUUUCAACUGAUCCAUCAGGUUUUAAAUUUUUUUUAAGAAUCUAUUUGCAACCUAUUGUUUUGCAACCAGGUGGAAGAUCCACCAAGUGCCAAGUUUGAUUUGACUCCAGGGAGUCCAUUUCAUCAUUUAUAACUUCUUGCCAAAAAAUUGCAUCUAAAGAAGUUAAAGCUUCUUGAAUUGUAUUAGGAUCUUCUUGUAAGUUAUAUACAUGGAAAUCAGGGCCAAAAUCUUUAGCUAUUCGAGCUCUUUUACUUUUCCUAGGUUCUAAUGCAGAUUGACUAUGUUUUACAACAUUAGGUUCAUAAAUUUUAGAAGAAUUAGAACCCCCACUAUUUUGAAGAUUAAAAGGAAAUUUAUUCUCAUAAAAAUCAGCAUCAAGUGACUCAAUUAUGACAUGGUUUUUCAAAUCAUAACAUCUAUAUGCUUUGCUAUUACAUGCAUAACCAAUAAAAACACAUUCAUAUGCUCUACUAGCCAAUUUCGAUCUUUUUGGACCAAGUUUACGAACAUAAGCUAAACAACCCCAAGUUUUGAAAUACAAUACAUUUGUUUUCUUAUUUUUCCAAAUUUCAUAAGGAGAGAUAUUCGAUUCUGAGGUAGGAAUUCUAUUUAAUACAUAACAUAUAGUCAACACAAUUUCACCCCACCAAUAAGAAGCAGCUCCAGAACUAAGUAGCAACACUCAAUUCGCAAAGAGUUCGAUUUUUUCUUUCCGCUUUACCAUUCAUUUCAGGAGAAUAAGGAGCAGUAGUUUCAUGAAUAAUUCCAUUAGACUUAAACAAAUUAACAAAUUCAAUGGAUUCAUAUUCUUGUCAUCUAUCACUACGAAAUCUUUUAAUCUUAUGAUUAAACUGAUUUUCAACUUCAGUAAAGAAAGUUUUGAACAUGUCAAUAGCUUUACUUUUAUUUUUCAUAAGAUAGACAAAACAGUAAUUCAAACAAUCAUCAAUAAAGGUAAUAAAAUAACGUUUUCCAUUUCUAGUUAACACUCUAUCAAAUUCGCAUAUAUCAGAAUGAAUUAAGUCAAGUGGUUCAGAUUCUCUAUUGACAGAUUUAUGUGAAGUUCUAGUGAUUUUAGCUUGACUACAAUAUUCACAUUUUUCAAAAUCAGUCAACGAUAAGUUAGGUAAAAAGCCUAAGUUACUCAUGUUCUUAACCAAGAGUUUGUUAACAUGACAAAGUCUAGCAUGCCAAGUAUUAAAAGAAGACAACAUGUAAUCAGAAGUAGACAUUUUAUCAACAUUCAAUUUAAACAUUCCAUUAGUAGCAUAUCCCUUUCCCACAAAAACCCCAUUUCUAGUAAGAGUAUACGUAUUUGCUCCAAACGUUUGAGUGAAUCCAGCCUUGUUGAGAAGUAAGCCUGAGACCAAAUUCUUCCUUAUUGUUGGAGCAUGCAUCACAUCUUUCAGUAUCAUGGGUUUUCCAGAGGUGAACUUUAACUCCACCUCUCCAGUACCAGCAACAUCAGUUGAGUGCGAAUCACCCAACAACACAUUUCUUCCCUCAGCCAUAGAAUAGGUCUUGAAAAGAGAACGAUCGUAGCAAGCAUGGGGAGAAGUGCCAGUGUCCACCCACCACCCACCACCCCUCGGACUAAGUUGAUUUCUGAUAUCAUUGCAAUUAGUUGCUCUUCAACAAGAUUUGUUUGAGAAGCAAAGUUUUCCUUAUAAUGCAUGGCAGAUUGAAUUCAUCUUAAAAUUGUUGUAAACUGAAAUAGAAAGGAACGAAAUUACUCAAAAAAAAUGUAGAAGCCUUGAGUGGUGAAUGAUUCUUGGGAUGAGUCAGGGACUAAGUCACUUUCUUUAAAACAUUUUGCGGCUUUGCCCAAAGUGUGCAAGCAGUUCACAAACACCACGUCGUCCCCAGGAUAUAACAUCCCAAAACCUUCUUCUUCUGAUGAAGUUCUUCCUUGCACAGUGGAAGAACCUUCGAACUCACACUCUCUCUCAAUAUGUUGCUAACCAAAACUAUAUAUCAGAAAAUAUAUCUAUUUUUGUUCCGCAUACUUUCACUACUAAAUAUACAUUUAGACGAAAAAGACGUUGAGAGUUUGAGAAAAUUGAAAGCAGGAAUAAAACGGUCUUAGGUCCGAUUCUCGCCGAAGGCGAAUUUGAACCACUAAACCGUAGCACUAAGUGGCUCCUAACAAUGUCUCUUAACAAGUUUAGAGGUAUUUGUCUUCACUAAUAAAUGAAAAGCGUUUGAAUUUCAUGAAUGACAAGUGCAAUACAAAAUUCAAAUUAUCAUGGUUCUUCCAUUAUAUGAUUUAACCAAAGCAUACCAUCUCUUAGUGUAAAUAUAUCAUUGAACUAUCAUUGAAGUAGUUCCAACAUUCGUAUACCAUCUUAAUUAUCAAUUUACUAUUACAAAAUUUCUAUUAAUUUUUCUUUACAAACUAAAGUGUUAUUAGGCUAAGUUGUUAAAUAUUAGGAGAUGAGUAGGGAUCGACCCACCGCCAAAGUACAUAUAUAGGUAUUACUGUUUUCUGCUACUAUGAUAAAGUGUAAUAUACUUCUAUAUAUUAAAAGAAAAUUCACUGAUACAUUUCCACAUGUAAACAUUCAACAUUGGACAUAUAUAAUAUUUUUCCCUACUUCUUUGGAAAUUUAAUUUUCCAAUGCAAUAGGCAAAUAGGGAAACAAAGACAAUCCCAACUGGGAAAGCAAUGAGAACAAGAGCCACAAGGCCUAAACAAUCAUGGUGGAAACCAUAAUAAUCUUGUAGGAUUAUUUUCUAUUUAAAAAACGUAUGUGAACAUACACAUUAUUUUCUAUUAUAAUAUGUGUAAGUUUAUGAAGGGAAAUAUUCACUAAAAUGAUCAAAAAUCAAAUUCUGAUGCCAAAACAAAAUCAAAUAUUGUCAUACUGAAAAACUAAUCAUUUCAACAAAUGAGAUUCAAAUAUUUGAUUAUUUUGGCCAAUUUUCCUGUAUUGAUACCCUAACCUAAAGUAUAAAUUACUUGCACAUCCAAAUUAUAACACAUGAAUUAACAACACUCCGUCAAUUAGACUUGUGUUACAUGUAUUUACACGGUUAUUGUCAUUCCAAGUGCUCAAAUGCUAAUGGAGUUACACAAAACCAUCAAAUAUUAGAAAAGAUUGGAUUCAAGAUAUACUAAGUAUAAUGUACAGAAUGUUGCAUAUAAAGUACCAGAAAACUUUAGUAGGUGACCAAGAGAACCCUAUUGCAGGAUAUGCAACGGCUACAUACAAAACUUGUAACAUUGUAUAAUGUAUUUUAAUGGCAACAUGCAACAUUUAACACUUUACACUAUAUUUGGAUGAGGAAGUUUAAGAUUGCUAAGGAAAUUUAAAGUAACGGAAAUUGAAAUGAUGGAAUUUUAUUUUAUAGAAUAUGUGAAUUUUCUUGUUUGGUUGAGGAAAAUAAACUUGGAAUUUAGAUAAAAGUCAGAAUUUGUAAAUUGACAUGCACCAGUUUCCUUGUUUGGAUUCAUAAACAUAUAUAGGAAUUUAGAAUUUUCGGGUGAAAAAAAAACUUGGAAUUUGGGACCUCCAAUUCCCAAGUUUAAAUUCCAUGUAAAUAUGUAUCAUUUCCCAAUUUCUAUGAUUGAGUGCUUAAAAAUAACAAAUUCCGUAAUCAAUUCCAUUUAUUUUUAGGUUAACCAAACAAGAGAAUUCACAAAUUCUAGAAAAUAAAAUCCUGUCAAUUCAAUUUCCGUCAUUUUAAAAUUCCUUAGUAAUCUUAAAUUUCUUCAUCCAAACAUAGUGUUAAGAACAAUGGAAUUUGAAAUGAAAUUUGUUAUUUUAAACCCUCAUUCAUGAAAAUUCAGAAAUGACACCAAUUUACAUAGAAUUUAAAAUGGGAAUUAGAUGUCCCAAAUUCCAAGUUUUUUUCUCAUGCAGAAAUUCUAAAUUUCUAUGUUUAUGAAUCCAAACAAGAGAAUUGGUACAUGUUAAUUUUUAAAUUCCAGCUUUUAUCAAAAUUCCAAGUUUAUUUCCCUCAUCCAAACAUAGUGUUAGUUUAAAACUGUGAAGAUUUUGAUUUAUCGAUUACAAACUAAAUAAGUACUUGAAUUCUUAGGCACUUCAACGUAUGAACUUGUGCAAAUGAACAAGGUCGGCCCUGAGAUUUUGAAGGCCCGAGCUAAGCUACCAAAUAGGAGCCCUUUAAUUCUUAGGCACUCCAAUUGGUUGUAGGUUCAUAUACAUUUUAUUUUUAUAGUAAAUACUCAUUAAUUUAUUAUUAUAUCGUACUCUUAUUUAAUUAAUAAUCAACAAUAUGCUAAAGUUUUAAGAAGGUGUUUGGACCCAAAAUUACAUCAUCGGCCCGUGCAAUCAAGGCCGUUGAGUAGGCAUAGCUCUCAAUCGUCGGAUAAAAAAGCAGAGAUAAUUUUGUUAUUAAAGGAUAAUAUUAUGGUUUUUAUCAUAAUUAUCUUUUAAUGAUUUAUCUCGACAUCUUCUUAUGAAAGAGGGAAAAUAUAUCUCCAAGCUGGAAACACGCAGCACAAUUCAAAGCGAUUUGGAUGUUUGGCGUGUGGAUGUGGUUUGGAUCGGUUUUAGUUGACAAAUAUGCAUGCAUGUGAUAAGGGUGAAGUAAAAAUGGUGAUAUGCUUUGAAAAUGAGUCUACAUGUGUUGGUGAUAAGAUGGCAGCAACUGCCUUGCUGACAAUUAACAUUGGGUAUUUUAUGCUAAAUCAUGCAUAUUGGUAUAUGCUUUUGUAUUGUGGGCCAGCAUAUGUUUUUUUUUUAUGGAGCCAAAUUCAUUUAACAAUGGAUAUUUGGAACAAUAAGAAGUUUAAGUAGGCAUAGGCCUUUGAGAGUUUGAGUUUCAGUUGGUUUCUACGAAAUCAUCAAGGCCACGCCAAGCGGGAUCAUGCAUAUUUGAAAGAGAAUAUUCCUAUUAUUUUGCAACUUACGACGGCAAUCUUACGGUUAUAGAGGCAAUGACAACAUAAAGGUGGUAUUUCGAAUUCAACACACAAACUGCCAUGCACAAACUCUUGCUCUACGCGAAACCUCUUAACAACCUUGAGAUUUUUAUUUUCCUUUUUCGCCAACACAUCUUCAGUUUGGAUAAAUAGCACUAUGAAGGCAACCGGUGAACAUCUUCACUUUGGAUAAACAAUACUAUAACCGUAGAACCAUUCGACCAUGAAGCACCUUUAGUUUGGAUAAACAACAUUGCUCCGAGACCGAUUGAUUACCUAUCCAAGUCUCGGUCAAGAAGAAUUUUCAAGUCCUUACUAGUAGAGAUCAUCUCAUCAGCCUUCUCGACGAAGUGAGGUGUUACCAGGUUACUACAUUCGGCACCCUGAGAGCCCAAUUUGAUAUUGAACUUCGUAGAACUAAUAGCCUUGUCUUCAGGUUCUAGAACCUGAAGGUCGAGACGUGUUCAUUUCUCGACCGCAGUCGUGAGAUUCAGAAGUCAAUAGUGCGCCCAAUGCAACAUCAACUCAUUUUACUUACCGGUCAAGCUCGACCGUCGAGUUGGCAUGCCCCACACACAACCGAAGGACAUAGUUAGCUUUUUAAUUACUCGGCUUGUGCGCCACGUAUACUUGAUAGUUUUUAAGAUCAACAGAAGGUAAAGAGCAAUAAAAACUGAUUAACGAAUUUAACAAAUUUAAUAGCGCCAAUUGAUCCUCUUGUAUUCUUCUUGAAAUCAAUUUCACAAUAACGAAUAUUAGAAUCAUGAGAUGAUUGAUAAUAAAUUAUUGAAACAGAGAAGAUAUAGCAAAUAAGAUAAGGUAGCUGGCAUUUGAUAGCGAUUUUGCUUGUAAAACUACACUUUUUGUCCAUCCAGAAGAAACCCAUUCUUCUGUUACAUGGCUUAACCGUGACCACACAAAACAGGAGAGCACGGGAAGGGCACCAGAAGUGGAGGGCAAACAAUCCUUGUCCGUGCUUUGUCCAUCGAGAAUAAGAAAUUGUAGGGACUAGGGGCCCAUUGCUCUUUUGAGAUGCAAGUUAAGGGACCUAACAAAGGGAAGUAAAAAGCAUUGGUAGGACAAAACAAGCCGUUUUAGGAAAACAACUUGGGGGAAGAUUCUCUCAUUUCCUAAUCUCUCUCCCAUUUUCUCUCCUUCUAUUUGAACGGUUACGGUUUAGCUACGUCAAUAUCUUAUAUAUAUAUUUUUAGAGACGAUAAGACAAAAAAUAAUAUGUGGGAGAAGGGAAAAGAAGGGGAUGAGAAUAGGAGGGGAGAUAAUUCUCUUCCAAACAACUUGCCUAUACAAUUCGGAUUCUAAGACGGUGGUAUCCCAAACGAAUCUCAUCCGACUAUGUGUUUAAACAUUGCACAUGACACCACGUGAUUGUUAAAACAUUGUCACCGUAGUGUAUUGUACAUAUACAUGAUUGUUUUGAAGUAACAUCAUCAUUGUGACAUAUUCAUGACGUAUGCUUAUCUCGCCGACUAGAGUUUCAGAUUCCUAACCAGGCGGGCAUAAACGUGCUUACAGCCUAAAAGGCCUUAACCUCAUAGAUCUGAAAACACAUUUCUGUCGGAGAAAUUGUCAAGAAUAAGAUACGAACUAGAGUUUACUCCGGGCAAGAUACCUGAGAUUUUUAGCCGUUAAAGUCAUUGAAUUCUUGACCAAUGAUCUAACAGCUAAGUUCACAUUGUAUAACCGAGGCACACUACAGAACGUAGAAAAAAAUAAUGGGGAUUAAAACGCUUCAUUGGGUAGAGGGAUAAGUGACAAAACAAUGAGAAAAAACACAUCAAUUGUAUUAGAAAUGCAACUUGCCAAUGUGCACAACAACAAAUGAACAUAGUUGCUACUCCACCGCAAAACCACCUCUGUGUCUGUCAAAUCUUAUUAAUCUCUGCGAGCAGAGGUAGCAAAACAACCUUGAAAAAAAACCCCCCACAACUUUCCAUAUGUUUUUUUUGACACCCCCGUUAACCCCUCAUAAUCAUAAACUACUAAUGACACAUUCUUCAAAGAACACGAAAAUAUAAAAAUACUAAUAAAAGAAAACCCAAAUGGCGCAAUGCCUGUAUAGAGAGAGAGAGAGAGAGCGAGAGCAGCAGAGGCUUAAUUCAAUUCAAUGUUUUGAUUCGAAGGGGUGAAGACUGAAGAGCCGCCAUUAAAGCUUUAAGCUUGGGGCUUGUCCCACUUGAGUGGCUUGACAACCUCCCAGGUGAAGUCGGGGUCAUCCCUCCCGAAGUGUCCGUAGGCGGCGGUCUUCAAAAACCUUCCAUUGCCACCCCUCUUGAG
rnacentral:lncRNA from 1 species